rnacentral:lncRNA from 1 species
CUUUUCUAUCGUUACAACUCCUCUUCCCCCUUAUUUACCCCCUUGCCUUGAUGGAAAUUGGCUUCGCUGCGCCCUGAAUAAUCAAAAAGCUGCAUGAGAAGAUUCAUCCCAUUUUGGCGAGAGGGAGGCAACGAAUCACCUGGGCUACGGAUUUGUCGGUUAGUUGAUUCUCGAAAUAAGGUCUUUCAAAAAAAAACUGCCGCUUUCUCUGCCGGUUUCUUAAGGCUUCAAACGAACGACUAGUCAUUAAGAAACCCAUGAAAUCCAAGUCUAUUUUUGACCUUUCAUGAAGAAGUUUUGCCUGCACGCAAACUACGUAGCCCUUUUCAAAAGAACGUCGAUUUCCAUCUCAACAAAGAAAGAACUCAAAAUAAAUGAAAGCAAUAUUGUUGUCCUAUUACUCUUUUUUUCCUGGUGGAGCUUUGGAAAGGAGAGAAUUUGAAUAAAGUAACUCUUGGAAACUCUUAUUGGAUGAGAGAGAGUCAAUAUGAUAUUGGCGUGGGUUCUACCAACUAAACGAAGAAGUUUUUGAUUGGAUAAAUAGCGUAUGAUGAUAGACGCUUCUUCGGCACACAAGGAGACAUACCUCCCGUAGCUGACCCCUGAAUUCAAGGAUACUGCCGGCUUUGUUACUAACGGAUAGAAACCCCUUAAUACAACAUUUGUUUUUCAUAAAUGUCAUAAGGUAGGUAGACCCGGUCUUGCGCUCGUCCAGUUAGGUGGCACAUUGUGCUAAGUGCUCGAACCGUUGGCUGAUCUCAGCUGUACCACCAGCAGGAAGAUCGAAUGGCUUAGCGCAUCCUGCGCCUACUGGACCUGACUUCGUAGGAUACUCUGAUAGACUAGUCGAAUGGCAAUGGCCUAGUGGUUCUAUCUGCUUGCCGAUUCCUAUUAAGAAUACGAGAGUGACAAAUGAGAUGGAGAUCUUGGCUAUCAUCAAACCAUCCUCCCUCCGCUUAUCUCUUUCCUUUCUAUAUGAUAAGUCUACCCGCGCCUCAAGGGCCGGUCAUUUACGCUCUCCACUGCAUGAACAGCAUUCCCAACAAGAUCUGUACGGCUUCCGUUGUCUCCUUUUAGAUUCCCGACUCUAGCUCAUAGGUAUCCAUAAGAGCGACCAGCCCUGAAUGCUUAAACCUAUCAAUCCUCUCCUAAAUUUCUUUCUUUUUGUCGUUGGGCAAGGAGCAAUCCAUUCAGCACUUUCCGAUGGGGACCAAAAGCCACUGGGGUACCAAGAAGUCAGAUUCAGUUCAGUCCUGUUUUCAAGAUCCGAUUCAGUGUUUGGGGAUGGCUUGGUCCAAGCCCACAUCCAUAGUAGAUGGACUUGAGUAGGCAAGUAUGCCACCAACUGAUAUGAUUCAUUAUGACAAUUAUGAUAUGGACUGGACGGUUGUGCAACCGAUUGUACUGACUCGCUUACCCCCGAGAACACCUAAGACAUGGGGGUUAUUUAUGCGAGUAAGCCUAGCAAGGACCAAGAUCUCGAUCUAGCCUAGUUGGGGCUUUAGAGUCACAUGACACAGUACCAAGAAUGGGAGAACCAGUAACAAUUGAUACGGGUUUCCAACCAAUGGAUCUUCUUACCUUUGGACCGGAACCUUUAGCUGUUUCCUACUCGGUCUACAGCUUGGUUUGAAAUGAGGGAGCCAUACCGUGUGGUUGAAGCAGAGUACCGGUUUGUAGUGGAUAGGGCACUAUCUCUAUUCGUAGCAGCAUUGUGUAUUGCUCUCACUAGGAAAGGGGGACAUAACCCCUACUAUAGAGCAGGAAUGGAAGGGAAUGAGCUCGGCUGCUUCUCCCCCACACUUCUUUAUUUCUCCAUGCCCCUAGUUAGUUAGUACUUUCGAGUUAAGAGCGAGAAAAUGAACUAUUUCAUUUAAUAAAAAAGUGCAACGGCUGUAGGGUGAAAAGGCCUCGGAUUGCGUAUAGCAAAGUUGAAGAAGGCAUUCUAGGAGCUAAAGGCGUCUCACUCGUCUCUCAUUCGCUCGAUGCUUAAGUACAGGUUUGCUUCUACGUCUACAGUUGAACUUGAAGGCCUUGGAUUCCGAAACCUGUAGAGCUUGCAUGGUGAAGAACAAGUACGUACUUCAUACGAAGAAAUGGUAGUCGGACUCCUCUGGUUUUCUCCACAGUAGGAGUAAGCAUAAUCCUAAAGUCGGCCCAAUGGGCUAUAUUUCUUUAGAGUACUCAAAAAGUAUGCUUUUGUCGGAGGGAGAUUGCCGGGUCUAUGUAGAAUAGAGAAGCAGCAAAAGAAAAUAAAUUGAGUAGCCAAAGGCCUCGUGCACAGUAUGGAAGGAAGAGGAAAAAUGCACGGUACGCAAUGUAUGAUGAUGAACGUAUGGAGUUAGUUUGGUGGGUUGGUUGGGGAGUAGGGCCGGGGGGAGAAACUUGUCCCUUCUUGAUGGCGAGUAUAUGCUUCGACCGAUUCUUGUGCUCCCUAUGCGCGUGUUCUUGAUCACCGAACAAGUUACAAAAUACGUUUAUGCGCUCCUAUCCUUGUUCUUGUGAGUCCUUGUGAAGCUACAUUGGUGAUGGUUGGUGGUAGAUGCGGAUUACCAGCGAGCUCUGGAUGCUACUCUUAGGGAUAUUAUUACUGUGCUUUUUUGCUAUGGUUAGUCAUGAUUACUGAUCAGUUGAGCAGUUCUUUUGAAUGUACCAAUUUUAUUUUUUCAUUUAUUUGUUUCCCCCCAUUUGAAACAGGGCUCAAGUCGCUUCCUGAGAUGCAUUUCACACCUGACUCACCUCCCACGCCUAAAAUGUCUCCAGGUAAACGUUUUUCUGCUUGUCUAGUAAUUCGGUGAAUCUGCGGCCACUAAUGCCAUUCAGAGACUCUUGGCCAUUUCGGCUUUCGCACCGUAUGAUCCCUGCUCAUCUGCCCACAACAAAAUGAUUUUUUUUUAUUUUCACUUGCAGUGUUCUCUCCAUUUCUUGUUAUAUGCUGCUAUAGGGCUAUAGGAAUACAGAUUCAAACUUGAUUGUAUGAUAAAACUGAUUAUUGAUUCAAUUCUUCUACUCACAGCAUCUGUUCUAUUAACUUGUAACUGCCUACUAAUUACAGUAUCGAGUGUCCUGGUGAUGCGGAUGCUAUAUAUAUAGUCUUCUCAAACUCUGAGUGCACAGAUCUGUUAAGUUGUAACUGUACCUUCUAGUUUUUUAAUCUGAGCAAUCGUUGAUCAUCUCAUCCAUUUGGUCGUUUGAACACUACACUGGAAUUAAUAUCUUUGCGGAAUCGUUGAUCAUACUUCAUGUGUACUAAUUGAAAUCAGUUGUGCAUGUCCGUGCUGCUGCCGCCCCAGGACAAGUGAAGUGCCCCCGUCGACUAUGGAGGAGCUUUCGACAUCCGUGCCGCGCGAUCGGUCGGGAUCGGUGGCCUUCAGUUCCUGCCGGAUUUCCCUUGUGACGUUAGUCCUCGCAGCAGCAGCUACAGCCUUGAUCACAUUGCUGUUCUGAUACAUGCUUGUCUGACCUCGCUCUUGAACUUGUGCAGGUCUGCUUCGUCUUUCUUGAUCGGUUCCUCGUGUUGCAUACAAUGAAGUGGUGUCAUGUGACGCUGGGCAUAAUCUCUGAAAACUCCUGACUGGUUCGGUGUGGUUUUGUUUAUUCAACACCAAUUGCCUUAGCUUUCUUUUUCUGAAGGAGACAGAGAAGAGAGUAGCUAGAUUUAUUUUUCUAUUUUGAUUUACAAAUGGUCCGGUUUUAUUUCAAAAUGGUCUGUACUUUUUGAUCUUUGGGAUUAUUAAGCUUAAGAAUCUUACUUAAUAGGAGAAAAUAGCCUCCUAAACAUAUGUCUAGCAACUAGUUCACCAGGAGUACGCAAGAAAGGCCAAAGCACUACGAAUUAUUGAUUUAGGAAUGGGAAUGGGCUAGAACCCUGGGUUCUUCCUUAUAUAAUUAAUGGUCUUUUUAUUCUAAUACUCUAUCCGAGAGUUCUCAGUAUUUAGCAAAGUUGUUCCUAUCUAAUGGAUAAAAACAGGAUCAAAUGACAAAGACAUUGUUUGUGGAGAAAGAGGUGGCUUUUCCCAAAUGAAAUGAAACAUUUGAUUUGUGUAACAGGAGAAAGAUUUCCCACUCCUUAGCCAUAAAGAUAUGUGGCCAUGAAAAAGGGAGGGGAUUCAGUGGAACAAGAUUGGCCGGGCGGUAGAGUCGUGGAAACACUUCUUGAUUCCUAUUUUGGAUCCUAGCUCCGUGGAACAAUAUGCUACUGCAGAAACAUGGAAGAAUUACAAUCUUAGAUCAAAACACUAUGUGUGAAAGCUUGAUAAGGGUCAGUUACUUGUACAUUUGAUUAGUAUGAGCCACUCACAUUGUUUUUUAAGGAUAGGUGGGAGUAGGACCCUACAAUAAAGAGCAGAUAGCCCACAUGAAUCAUGGGAAUAACAAUACGAGGCCUUUGACGAGUAAAGGAGAAAUGCAAGAUUUGGAUCCGCAAUUUCAACAAGUAGUUCGUGCUUCAUCGGUAGGGGAGACUAUAGGCCAUGAAAACCCACCCCUGGUAUCUCCACCUAUGGAUUGAGAGUCAAAAAGUGUGACUUUCGUAUGUCCCGCUGGCACAUGAUUUCAAUUACUUUUCUUGUUUCCCGUUUCAGAGAUCCAAUAAUGGAAUGCUAAAUCGAUAUCUGGGGUCGAGCCAGGGUACUUAUCCUCCCGUCUAUAAAUCAAUGACCAAUAAAAUACCAAAGCAGUGAUAAAUCAAGGGGCGGACAGGAGCAGCAUCGUAGCUAGGAACAGGUGCUGCACCAUAGCUAGUAGGAAGAAGUACAGCAUAGCUACAUUCCCCAUAGGGUUGGUGCCCCUCUUCUCCAAUACAAAUUGAAUCAUAGCAAGGGCUAAGCUAUCUUAAAACCUACUAUCAAUCUAUUUAUAGAACUCAAUACUACUAUCCAUGAGAUCAUCAUAACAAAAACUAGAAUUGCCCAGCGAAAUAGGAAUAGAAAGAAAUCCAGGGUAACUUGUAUCAUGAAAUGGGUCCAUUCCAAUUGGAAUUCCGUACAGCUACAACUCUUUUUAAAUGAGUCGAAGUCCAGUCUUGUCACUUUCUCAUCAUCCCUUUCCGCAUCGUCCUUCUCUAUUAGGGGCUCCCAACACCUCAACCAAUUCGUGCAGCAUCUUAUUCAGGAUCUCGGUGCUCCCAAAAGUUGUGAGCGACUCCAGGAACAAGACUCUGCCACCUCUGUGCGUCACCGAAUGAAGGAAGGAAAGAGCAUGUCGUACAUAAACCUGGAUUUUUUCCAUGUCGUCCAUAUCUACGCACGGCACGAUACAUAAAUCCUGCAACAGGAAGCACAAUUUUGCUACUGGAUCAACAUCCACCAUCUUCUUCGGACUCAAACACAAGAACGAAACCGCCAAAAACAUGAAAUAGAACAAAGAGGAGUAGUACAGCAACUGAAUCAUAGUCUGACACCGUCGAUGGUUGGCUGUCGUGAGGAGGGUGCAUUGCAGCAGUUGCUGGUAGGAUUUUGGUGUUGCUAUGUUCUUGCCACAGAUGAUGAUAUAUGUAGAUGGGUGCGGUUUUGGACUCGAGAUAUUGCCGGGAGAUCACAUUUGCCGUCGCAUUCCAAACAAUUCGUGAGCCAUUUAGCUGGUUUAGUGGACAUUUGCCUUGUUGAUCAACUUUUUGGUAUACCCAGUUCUGUAGAAUUGUUUUGUGCCUAGAACUCCGAACGACCCUUAUAUUGUUUUGCUUUCUGCUGCUUCUUGUUCUGCUUUGCCGAGAGAAUUUCACCUCUGUGGAAUGCCCUAUAGCUAUAUUUAGCUAUAUUACUCCUCUAGCUAUAUUUAGCUAGUUCACCGUUGUAUACGACCAAGGUUUACACCUGAGAGUCGUAGUAAAUCCUUGCAUUCGUGAAACUGACCGAUGAGAACGAAACUGAUGGGAACAAUCAACUAUACGGCAACUGCGAAGUUCUAGUUGGCUUCUGAAAAUCAACUAUGCUGAAAUAGAUUCUCUUUUGAGAGCCCUACAUAUACCGAUCAAACAUUCCAUUUCAGACUUGUCUGCUUUACUAUCUAAUAAGUUUGAUAGAAAUCAAGGUGGGUAUAGCUUCCUUUGAUCCAUACCGUAAUAUUCAAGCUGACUUUGUCAACUUAUUCCCCUUUUUUCAGGUUGAAUUGACAACGCUGUAUUUUCUUCAACCAUAGGAAUCAGAAUUUCAUAGGUAGAGGGGGCCAAGGUGCCAGAAACAUGGAUUUCAUGGAAACAAGGUAAUUCGUAGUUGGUAGCAGAUGUUUCGCGGGAUCAGAUAUCCUCCGUCUUGUCUCUGCAUUCGAGGAAUGCUUGUAGCUGUUCUAGGCAUGAGAAGAACUCUACAAUACGAUUUCUACGAUUGGUACCAGAUUGGAGUUCAUUCUCGGAACUCUCCUCUAGAGAAUGGCCUGGCUAAAGAGAGUGAUAGAUCCAUCGUGUGGUGUGGAAACUAAAGCUAGGCGCCGCUAUUCGUCCUCAGCUGUAUUCUCAUUCUGGGAAAAGGUAUGGCUCGUUCUGGGAAACGAUCAGUAGUAGUGGUGGAUGGCAGGUAUGGAAGGAUCCCGGCAAGUUCCUAUCUGAGAUUACCACCGGCCCUGCCCUGAGCUGACUUCUUUGCUAGUAGUGAAGUGCGUUUUCACUUAGCUGGAAAAGUCCAUAAUCCGAUUUGACCUCGGGAGCCUGUCCAUGGAUCUGAUCAAAGCAUGGGGAGUCCGCGGAGAAGAAAAACUCUAUUUUGCUAUGGGCCAAAACUAGUGUUUUUUCGGAUUUCUAGUCUAGUUUAAGUGCAGGGCUAGAGAGUUCUCUUCCAGUAUUCUUAGCUGACUGUCCGCUUGCUUGACUCGAACAAAUAGCUUUUGUUUCCACAAGGCAGAUCCCAUUCCUCGAAUGCAAAGGACAAGAAAGACGGAUUCUGGCUGGAAGGAAGGGUUCUCGUAUUGGUUCUUCUGGUGCGCUACUUCCUUGUGCUGUGCCAGAUUGGAAUUGGUAUUGGAAUCCUGGUUGGUAGAAGGAAGCUCGGGUAUUGCUUAUUGUUGAAAGCACUCGUUUGUUCUGGCUCGUGAUUUGAAAGAACUCGUUUGUUCCGGCUCGUGAUGUGUCUGACGCAUGCAUAGAAUCAAGAUCUAUUGAGACCAGGAUGUUUGUUUCUUCCUCGAAACAAGAGAUACGCUCUGGCUUAUUUGCAUUCAACCGGAGAACCUCACCUAUCAACUGCCCUGGUUGGAUCUACUUACGAUUUGAGAAGCUGGCUCUAGAACCCCUGUUUUUGAUGCAGAGUCGGUGGUUCCUUCUCUUUUUCGUGAUUUCAUCCAUAAAUCAAUGGAAAGAGCACUUUAUUCAGUGAAUUGACACGUUCCUGAUGCUUUUACAGUAGCAUCAGUCUCGGUAGCAGAAGUAGAUCCGAGUGUAGAUACCGGGAUCAUAUCACCACUAUUGACUAUUUCAAUUCAUUCGCAUCUGCUCAUAUCAAUCAAAGUUUCCUAUCAAGCAAUCCCAGCAACAAUCAAGUUGGCACCCGCUAUAUAAGAUGCACUAUUUCCUGAACUUGUCCCAAACCCAACUCGGCACUUUUAGACCUGGCCUGGAUCCCUCCCUUCUCCGACAAUAUAUGCAACCUUAAAGAAAAGAGACCACUCUCAGAACGACCCUUCGGAAAGCCCCACAACAAGCUAUCCCAGAAGAAAUUGUAUAACUUGGCCAAGGUAUUCACUUCCAGUUCCCUUUGCAAUAAGAUCAUAGUAGAUAUUGUUUAGAAGGCUCACUCUCUCGUCUACAAAAAAGAGAUGUGUGCUUACUUCUUGGAGAUUAACUCCUGCCGGUAAGUGCACACCCUCAGUAGUAUCUCUAUAGACUUUAUAGAGUAUUUCCAAUUGAUAAAUGAUUUGUUCUUUAAUAACAUCUUUGUAUAUAUCAGUUACUUGUGUUUCAACAUUAAUAGCAUUUAUGUGAUGGAUCAUCCGGCCAGCCCUAACGGCGACAAGAAUAGCUAUCGACAAUGACAAACCCAAUGAGACAAUAUACUCAAAUAGAAUCGUUUCCAUAAAAAUCUGCCAUCAUUUUUUUAGUCAUACUUGUCCCUUAGCGGACUCACUCUUGUCUUGCUUCAUCUAAGGAGUGAUAAGUGCCAGGAGUCUGCCUCUAGCAUCAAUACAUGUCCUAGUUACAAACAAAUAAGCGAUGCUAUCUCCUUAGCGUUAGCGGCCUUAUGCCUAUUUCAGUAUACGCCCGUGUCAAUAUGUUUAGACUUACCUAUACCCAUGCUUCCUUCUUCUUUGACUAGCUUGCUUCCCCUAUCAAAUAGAACAGGAAUGACUGCGUGCUUGGCCAUUGUUAGUAAGCCCGCGUAGGGUAGGACCAUCAUCGAGCAAAUGUUCCUUCAAAGGCGCGGAGCGUGCUAUGGCAGAUUUUCAUCCCGCAAGAGGAUGCGCCUAACUAAAACGCUGAAAGGCAGUGCAACCCAAUCCGUUGCUUUGCUUGUUGGGUCCACUUUUUGAAAGUUUCUUUGUUUGUAACAUUAGUAGUUACUCACUGCAUCAGUAGUUACUCACUGGGUGGGUGCACCAAUGGCUUUCUAGGAAUUUGAGUUGCUCAAUACAGACGGAAAGAUUCUUUCGUGAGAUAAAAGAACGGCAGGUUGAUGAGGGAAAGGAAACCAGAUCUUUUUUCUAUGGUAUGGCCUGGGUGGCCUAAGCGAAAUGCCGAGAUAUGAAGGAGCCAAUCAAUCUACCCGCCUGAGGUAAGCUUUCUCCUCACUUGAGUUGAAGCUGCCUCCGCUCCCUGCCGUCAUACGUAUUGAUUUACCUUAUCUUGACAUACGCUACACAUAUAUUUGCUAGAGAUAUCAUUCGAAAUAGGAGCUUUCUGAAAAUAGAAAUCAAUACAUCCAUGGUAUUGAACGGACAAGAAUUGAAUGGGAUUGUGGCACCCAGUGAUACACUACGCCAUGUUACGAACAAAGAAAUGAUCAAGAAUUUCAUUAUGGCAUGGUGCUAUAGGCCAUCAAUUCGGUUAUAGGAGUAGAUGCGGGCAAUGGCAAAGAGGAACAUUUGGAUGGACGACCUCCAAGACACGAGUCACUACUUUAGAACUACGUUAUUCCCUAGCGUCAGGUACACAUCUGGGGUUGAAGAAGUGAUGCAUAUCAAAUAAAUGCGAUCUAGAUCACUUUAACAGAUUAGCAGCAUCUUCGCAUUCCGAGCCGAGACUAUUAUGAUUACCUACCGAAUUGGAGGAAUCAAAGAUCCUUACUUGAGGAACUUAACUGGCACUCUACUGAUUGGACUUUACCAACUUCAGAAACCAGACAAGAUUCUAUACCGAGAUGACCUAUCAACCAGAUGGACUUGAACAACUGACCUGUCUGCUAUUGUUAUUGCCGGGCCUCCAGACCAUACCAAUUCACCGAGUUAGAAACCGGACCAGAGCUAUUAACCAACUUGACGUGCUUUCCUGACUGACAGACCGAACAGACCAAUCCAACGAACUGACUUUGCUAGCUUAUCGAGCCGAGGAGACAAGACGGAUCAAUAUAAGGAUACCAGCAACCUAAAGAGAAGAACCCCAGUUUAUUAGAGAGAUCCGUUCUAUUUCACUAGUUGGGUUUCUGUCUCGGCCUGGCAUCUUUGGACAAGAAUAAGAAGUAUAAGUGGCAGCUUCCUAUUCCUUAGUACUUUCCUAUAGUGUAGUUUCUCAAACCAGUGCUUUUCCUGGAAUGGAUAGAAUUCCUCAACUCUAGGAAAACCUGGUAUGACAAAUUCCAUAUAAUAUGCAAAAUUCUAUUUCCAUAUAAAAUAAAUAAGUAGACUAGCUCUGGACCGGAAAUCGAAACCCUGGAAACAAAAGACAAGACAGGUAUGAAUCACUAAACCUGAGAGCUUCCUUCUCUUCUCCCAAAGCCAACUCUGGAUUUUCCUCCUUCCGGCAAAGUCAGAGUGAUGCUAUCUCUCCUCUCCCCGGCCCUCCGGGAUGAAGAAUGUCCAACAUCCUCUUCUUGGAUACCAGAUUCCAUCCUUAUCCACCUGGCUAGAAGCUGGCUAGAAGAUCGAAUUUCUUGGAAUGAGUAUCUUUGAGGUGUUUAGGUAACUCAUCCAGUCCAGAAAUAGCUUGACCUGUCCAAUUUCGAACGAAUCAAGAUAUCCUAUCGUUCUGGUAGCUAUAGUAGCUAUCUGUUCUUCCACUGGGAGAAGGUUUGAUUGGGAUUGUUUAAGCAAUUCCCGUCAUAAAAACAAUGGAUUCUGGCUAGUUUUAUCGAGAGCAGAGGCGAAUAAUAGGCUUGUCACUCUGCGAAUUGAGCUAGUUCCAAUUUGGAUUUGCCAGCUACUUGUUUCAUUGCGGCACAUUUGAGCCGCUGAUCCUACUCUGGAAAGUGAAAUACCCACAUGAAUAGCAGGUCGAAUUCCGGCAUGGAAUAGAUCCGCAGAUAAGAAGAUUUGUCCAUCUUGGAGAUUACAUUAGUAGGAAUAUAGGCGGAAACCACUCCAGUUGGGCAUACUCUCUUCGCCUAAAAGAGAAUUGUAUUGAGUGGCUCUUUCUAAAAGGCGUGAAUGCCAAUCAAAUCAACCCUAUCCUUAUGGAGAAUAGAGAUCCACCCACCCACCUUCUAUAUUCUCCCAUCCCCGAGGGAAGACCACGCAUGGCUGAGAAAGAAGUGUCUCGUAUUCAGCAGCUCGCCUAAGUACUAACGUUAGUGGAAAGAGUAAGAUAAGAAAGCUUAAGUGUGGUAGCCCACAGACCAAAUAUGAGAAGUUAUGUUUUGAAAGCUUCUUCUUGAGUCUAAUACUAUCGUUUUGAAAUUCUUGGUCCUCAGAUCUGAUACCAUAACCAGCAUCUACAUGCUCAUGCUGCAAACUAUCACAUAGGUCCUAUUUCAGGUUCAUUUACUUUCUCAAAUAAGUAACUUUGUCUAAUGUUCCUUGAACGAGUAAUUAAAACAACCACCCCUGAUCCGAAAGGAAUGGGUGUUCCUGAGGCUUAUUCAAAGGGCUUUCUAGUGAGUUAAUGGGGAAUGAGGGUAUCACCCAUAACCAGUUUGAAGAUGCAAAAAUUAUGUUCUUGUCAAGGAGGGGGAUUAGCUACACAACCAAGGAAGGCCUUUUUAGAUUAUUAAUAUUCUGACUGCUUUUCACUCUUUUCUAGAUCUUGCUUUUGCUUAGAGGGCAGGCCGCAGGACAAAGCAAGAGCUUGAAUGCAAGGGGCGCUGCGAAUGUUUGCUUCGAAGGAGCCUGUGAGCCAGCGAUAAUUAGACCCGUUAGUUAGUAGGGACAACUUGAAGUAGGGACAACUUGAAUACUCCACGUGUGUCUAAUCAUCCACUCGACCAGCCAAUGAAACGAAUUGAGAUGAAAGUAAUUGAAAGUUAUCUCCCGUAGAAGGAGCUAUGUUUGCGAAGGAACGAACAGAGCGUUGAGGGCGCUAGCAACAACGUGUUUGUUUCAACACAAGAGGUGCCAAUACAAGCUUUAAGAACUCAAUCGUCCGUCCGAUCGAAUCACUCGUUUAUGGCUCUGAUUCCAAGUCAACGUUUAAAAUAGCGGUGACCUAGCUAGUUGAAAAGUUUUUACUUGGAACACCAGACAUGAGAGCCAGCUACAGAGACAGCUAAUGAUAUCAAAGUUGACCAAACAAGAGAGUUUCAUUCAAUUCUUUUCAGAGUGUACGCCUAUGAUCAAUAGUUCCUUAUGUAAAGGAUCUUUCCCUUCUCAUAUUCUAUUCGAGAGUUCUCAGUAUUUAGCAAAGCUGUUCCUAUCUAACGGAGGGCUAUUGGAUCAAAUGAAAAAACGUUGUUGAGAAAUAGUAGCCACCCGAAGUAGAGGGAAUCAAACCUUGCCCAGUCGAUGCUCAAGUGGCCCAAAGAAGCAAUUUGAAAAGGGAAGAGCAUGUUCUGAAGGAACCGCACUCAAAGGGAAUGUUUACUUUAUCAAAUCAUUCUUACUCCUUGGUUACCCCUAUGAAACGAGCCUAUUCAUUUGACCAUUCACUAGUUUGUAAACUAUGCCUACUUCAUGCACAGAACUCCGCUCUACUGGAGGCUUGGCAUGCUCGGAAAGAAAAAAAGCGGAGUCAAUCUUUUCAAAUUCCUUGCGAACAAUACCGAAGACUUGCGGCGUGUACUUGCUUGUGUGAGAUUUCUCAAGAUUGUAGAAAGGUGUUUUUAAAACAGGUUCCUUCCAUCUGAGAGGCUUUGCAAUCCAACUUAGUCUCCUUUGUGUGCGCGCACACGCAAGCCAAGUUUCACUUUUAAUACCCCUGCCUUCUCGACCACGGAUAGGCUGCGGGGCUUUGCACUUCGGCCCCAUUGUGUGAAUACCACAUCAAGGUGACAGGAUUCGAACGUAUGGCCCUCUGUACCCAAAACAGAUGCGCUGACCAGACUGCGCUACAACUCGUCCCCCCCUUAGAACAUAUGGAUCGACCCGAUCUAUAAAGAAAAGAACCGUAGCGCUGUCGCCCACCCCGCUUUGGGCAUGGGAAGGCGAGAACCACCGCUUUUAGGAAAGAAGCCUACAAUUUAAUUCUCGUCUCGUUUCACUUGCAUUUUAUUUCGUUCAGUCUCGUUCUGAGAGUGGAAUCGAACCACUCACUCCGUUUGGAUUUCGAGUCCAAAGGGCCCAGCCAGCGAAAGAGGAUUUACAGUCCCACGCAGCCUGCCAGAACCUUUUUCUUGCUUGAUUUUUAUACGAUUUUUUGAGCAACUAGCACGAAAGCCGUUGCGCGUUAGCACAUCCGUUUUCUUGCUUGAUUUUUAUACGAUUUUCUGAAGUGAUCUGUCCAACUAAGUAGAAAAGGACACUAGAGUGUGGCUACACGUGGUAGAGGGCUGCUUGUCCCGCCUGGUGUUGAGAAAUGACAUCCAAUCUUUCGGUACCUAUCAUAUAUUCUAUGUGGAUAAACUUAUUUUUGAUCAGCAUCAAUGGGAGAUCUGAUGUUUUAGAAUGACCUUCCCCCGAUCAGAGAAGGGGCUUGGUCUGGAACGGAUUGAGACGGAAAGUGGUAAUCAAUCGCCGCGUGGUGGAAUGCUUGUUGGAGAAGGGUAAGCGCCUCCAUGUCGUAGGGGUGGGUAGGCCAAUAGAAGACUAGGGAACUUAGCCUAACCACUUAGUUCUGCCCCGAGCCAAGUCUAUUUAGUGUCAGCAAACACAUACCACUAUCUAUAUAUAGGUUUUUCUUUUUCGUAGAGGUUGUCGCUUAGGUCCUUGGACCCUUCCUUCAUGAAGCUUGAGGAAGCACUCACUUUUCUAUCCACGGCAUUCUUGGUUCUGCACUUAGUCUUGAACCUGUGUUGGUUUGGGACGUCAAUCUCAUUCGUCAGCGGUGUGUGCCGCAUACUAUGAUUGCUUUCUUCUUGCUGUCAAAUCCCAGUCUAUCUUUCACUGAGCUUCCUUCGCAUGGAAUUCAAAGUCCAAAAAAAAGAAAGAAAGCGUACUGUGAGGUAUGAAUGAUCAAAUGUCUACGGUUGUCAUUGAAUAUCAUGGGGUACGAACUUCUAAGGUCAUGGCGUAGGGUAUUGGAUAGGCUGGUCCGCUGGUCGAAGUCAUUGCAGGGUGUGCUACGGACAUCUAUUGUUCCUGGGCAUUUCCUUUCUCUCGUCAUCAUGUCAACAUACACAAGGCUUGCCUUCACAGGGCCCCACCUUGACUUGCCAUCAUGGCUACACUCUUUUCAUCAAAGCAACUCUUCUUAAGAAGACCCAUUGGUCCCCACAACAAAUUUCCUCCAUAGAGAACCCAACUGCACAACACCAUCGCAAAGGUUUGUUCGUAACUCGAUUAGUCUCACUCGAGAGAACUCAUCUACAUGGAAGGUCUUUUAAGUGCCAGUUGUACCCGCACAGAAGUUUUGUGCCCUCAACUACACCAGGAUGCCCCCUGCAGUAGCAUCACAACUUUUCUCACCAUGGACAGCUCGCCAGUCUUCUUGCAUCAGCCACACCUAAUUACAAAUGACCUUGGCCUCUCCAUGCUUGUCAUUUACAUUUAAACUGCACACCCCCUUGUUGAGGUCUUACUCCAAAGGUACGGCCUCUAGCACAUGACCAUUCCUCACUCAAGUCAUUGACACCCUCAUUGAUGUACGUGUUAAAAGAAGAAAUUCCACUAUCUCUCAAAGGAAAUGAGGUUUUUGAACUCCCAUAUAACAGAGUUUCAUUGAUGCCAAAGGGGGUUUUCCUCAAAUGAUUGGAACCAUAAUAAAAUAAAAAAAAGAAUGAAAGAGUCAAUCUAUCUGGGUCAAGGCGCUCGCUCUGCCACAAAGGGAGGCACUGGCAAAAUCUAAAUAGAAAAGAGAUGUUUCCAGUUAAACCAUAGAUGUCCACUUCAUACUUAUAGUAUUCUAUUUCGGCUUGCUUGGGUUCAUUCAAGGCAUCUUCAUAUCUAUUAAAGAAAUCAAUCAGCUCCUAAUUAGGUCCCCCAAGGCGAGCGAAGUGAUGUUUUUAUUUCUCUUCCUCCGAUCAGAAAAAAAAGAUUUCUAGGACCGGAUGCAUAACAAGAAAAGACAGAAUAGUAGUGGUGCCUGCGCGCAAACAAUCUUAGAACUGAGCUCUUGUAAAGGUGGGCGUUCCUACGCUCAAAGCCCAUAUCUCAGAUGCACGCCCAUUGGAAUAGCCCAUCACCAGGAUGAAAUUAUCCAUUUAGCGCAGUUCCCCUUUCCUCUCUUCUUAUAUAAACUUCACAUCCUAAACACCAAAAGGAAGGGAGAAGCAAACUCUACCUGGUGGUUUUUUAUCAUUUCAUUGACCUUCGAACCGCUCUUGCCCUCCCCUUUCACUUUAUUUCCUAAAUGUGUGACUGAUACCAAUCCCUAUGUUGUACACUCUUCCACUAACUAGAGAGAACCAUGCCUGAAGUAGAAAGAACCAAUUACAAGUAUUCAUAGUGGUCUAAGAAAAUCAACCCUGACCAUGAAGGUUCCUAGUGUUGAUACCAGUUGUUGGAGAUAAUGGAAGGAAGCAACAAAACAGAGAGAGGAUCCAGUGUAAUCUUAACUACAUCUCAGCUCUUAUACAAAAGCUUAUGUUACAAUACAUGGUACCCGUCCAAUUUAUAGAAAAUAGCAAACCGACACAAAGUCAUUAUCGACUCAAGUAACAACUAUUUCUAUUUUGUUCACAACUCAUUCCUAGCUAAGACAUAACAGCGGGUAGGCAAACAACUUGAUUCAGGUCAAUACAAUACUCUUCUUCGAACUUGCAAGCUUGGGACACAAGCGUAAUCUGAAAAAGAAGUAAGACCAGGUACACUACUAAACAUAAGUAUAAAGAGGUGGAAGGCUGGCUGUGCUUGUGCUCACCUAUAGGUCUAUCCCAGCAUACAGUAUCAAAAAAGACUGUCUCUUAUUUUUGAUUUGUCUGAAUCAGCGUAUAUUAACUAAUACUACUUUAUCCAGUCAAUAAUGAAUUGAAAGGUCGUCUUUAAUUCAAAAGUGCAUAAGCAAGCAAGGAACGGAAGGCAUGCUAACUACACUACUAGAGUCAAGAAAAAAACUACACUAGAAACCAAACUACUUGAGUAAGAAUCAAAGCUUAUUGAAGAUGCUAGAAAAUCUAUGAACAAGUACCAGGUUAGUAAUUCAAUUUUGAUAUCUUCUGCAGCGUUUUCUCUCUGUUGCUAUUCUCAGCACUUUGGAAAGUAUCUAUGCAAAGGAAUUAGUAUUAAGAAUAGCUUGGUUUGGUGCAAAUGUAAUAUAAAAAAGGCAUUCCCCUAUAUGUUGUUAGAUGUACUGCAAAAAGGUCAAGUUAAAGAAAUAUUAAGAAAAUUGUUUCGGCUGUCUGUGCUAUCAUUUUUCUGGAAGCUUUUAAGCCUGUUGUCCAGAUGCUGCUGCCUAAAAGUAGUUCUUUUAAAUUGUUUUCUUGUGGUCUUGUCCUCUGUAUUGUUUUUGGAAACAAAGUACUCUAUAUUGUUCAUGUGCUGAACUUCAUAGUUGGAGGUGGCACAGCAGCAGCAGCUACUCUCACCAGGUGCCUUUCGCCAAGGAUACCGUCAACCGAUUAAACCUUUGCUAAUGGUGGAAUUGCCAAACCUUUGCCCAUGCCGAAAAAGAAGCCAAGUCCGAUUCAAUAAUUACCUUUCUUUUGUCUCUAUCUUUGGACUGAAUCAGAAUAAGAAGAAAAGCAAGGCUAUCCUUCGUUGCACACCUAAUAGAAAGCAUUGGCUAGAUUUCCGAUGAAGGAAGCCGUCUACUAACCGGAAUACUACAGCAGAGGACAAAACUAGGGACUUCGAAAAUGAGGAUAGUUUGCUAGGUAGGGAUAGCGUUGUUCGAAUUGAAAAAAGAUACCUUUCCCCAAAGCGAUAGGAUUCAAAAACAAACCAUUCAUGAAACUCAUGCAAGAGCAUGCAGUGGUCACAUUAAUGGACAUGCGCUAGCUAAGAGAACUUCUUAAGUUAUGGUACUAUUCUAUUGGCUGGCUUACUAUGGGGAAGGGGAGAAGGCAAGCCGUGUAUGGAUUGAUCCCUAAUUCAGUUCUUUUUUCGUGGUUUUCUUUCCAUCUCACAACUUCCAUUUCUUGAGCCGACCUUGCCCGUUGGAGGUAUGAUUCCGAUCGUUGAAUCGAAUUGGAUUUUGUGUCUUAAAGUGAGGGCGAUGAGUGGGGAAGGAAGCUGACGAUUUUAUUAGUGUGUAAGGUGGCCCCGAGAGCUGAACCAAAGCCGUCCAUUUCGAGACCAGGGAUCUUUAACAGUUUCUAUUUAAACUAUGUGUUCAACUAUGUGUUCAGAUUAUGCUAUUUUAUUAGUAGCUUUCGGUCUCGAUUCGCCCUUACCUUGGAGGGAUCAACUACUUCGCUUAGGCAAAAGAUUGAAAAAGUCUGUAUCUGUCUACAUGUGCCUCCGUCUAUGUUACCCCUUCCCCGGAAAGGAGAUUAUACGUUUAGUAAAAAAACGAGAAUAAAAAAUCAAAAAGAAAGAAGAGAAAGAACUGGGAGUUGGCGCCUACAUAACAGGUAGCUUGCUUACCAAGCCGUCCUGGCAAGCUCCUACAGUUCUCUUAUUACUCUUGACUUGACUUAUUAAUAAGAAAACUACUCACUAACAAAAUGAAAGACGAUCUAGAAUCUACCCAAGAAGAUAGAGAGUCCCACAUAUGAGAAAAGGUCACAAAUGGAGUUGAACCAAGUAACAUUGCAAAGGCAUAAUGAUAGUAGGGUCGGGAUAUCCCCGCCCUCCGAACCGGAUGUGAGGGUCUCCCCUCAUUCGGCUCUCCGUAGGGGAAUCUCCACUCAUUGCUUCCCCUAAUAUCCUCCCUUUACCACAUCAUGGGGGUUUACAGGAGAUCCCAGAGACUCGCCCGGAAAGGCUGCUAUACCAAACAUUAUUACUUAACUACAAAGAAAGAAAAGACUAUAGUAGUCACUAGACUGACUAUAGUAGUCCAUCCGGCUGCUCUUGCUUAAAUCAUUACUCUUCAUUCUCCCGUGCUCUAGCAAUUGCGCUCCCUAGACCACUACCAUUUAGUUAGGUAGGGAAAAUCAAUCCAUAGUUACGGGAAUAACGGAAUGCCUGGGUAUAAUAAAAAAUAGAAAAAUGCAGAUUUUCUAUGAAACCCUUUCUUUCCAUAGAUGUAUCUGGUCUGAGACGGUACAGUACUCUAUGAGAGGAAUGCAAUGGGAUGGAUGGUAGAGGGUUGCCUGCGCCGAAAAGCAAUGAUUCACUUGUCCCCUUGUCUAUAGGGACAUUGUGGCAUACAACCGCCAUGACUCCUGCGUUAUAGCCGCCCUUUUCUCUGUUUCUUUUAACUGCCUCGUGGACGGACGAAAGAAGGGAAGUUACAGAAGGGGGUAGUGAAGGCUCGCCAAGUAGACAGCAAGCCCCCACCCCGUCAGUCCUGUGUUGCCGUAGCGUGCCCUACUUCAAUAAGGUAUUACCUCGCCGAUAUUAAAGGGAAUGAGAUUGGAUUCAUUCACUUGCAUUCCUACUAGCACUACAAAAAGCUCCGGUCUUAAUGCCCCUACGGAAGUUGUGCAGCCUUUCCUCGGGUUCGUAGAGUCGGGUUUCCCGUUUACCCACAAAGGAGGAGCCGCCCCCACCAACCAAAGCAGGUAGGCGGCCACAUUUCAUAACGCACUCUUCGCACAACAGAUCCACUUUGAAGUUGACUUAUUCGCUAGGCCAAUCGUCGGAAUGUGUACGAGAUACCAUAAGGGCCCAAUAUCUCAAUAGCACCCUUGUCUAAAGCUUUGAAUGAGACUGGAUAUCUGAAACGCUUGAACGAUCUGACUAGAAAGUCAUUCAAAACUUGAUCGAAGAACUAGCGUUUAUUGAAGAAGCUAUAGAGUCGAUUACAAAAAGUACUAGUUUGAAAGGCUCGUUGGAAUUGAUCCGCUACGAGAUUUACAUUAUACGCUAGAGAAGCACCUGAAGUACUAAACAAAAUAGGUAUUAGUUUUGUAAUGGUUGGGGCAGCAAACUCGGAUUCGGCAAGAAUCUCAUUUUUUGGUAGUACGAAGGGGGAAUUGGCCCAAAAAUUGGAUAGGGGUAAAGACGCAGCCGGGUGUCGGGGGCUUAUUCAAGUGCCCCCCGAACCGCGCGAAAUGGUCGCCUAUUACACGGCUCACAAACUCUGCCUGGGGUGGGGCUACCUAUUGUUCGUAGGCGGUACGUAUGGCGCAUGCAGGGCCUCGGUUUGCUGCGUGGACUGUCUAUGCAUUUCCUACGGAGUGUAAUGGAACCCAGCUCAGCUCCGCCGAGCCAAAAGAAAAGAACAGAACAGCUGAAGGCGAAGAGUAGAGUAUAGCCAAGGGGCUUUCGUCGUCCGUAAAGGACCUAACGGAAGAUCGUGCUCCGAAGUGUGCACUUCGAGUUUUGUUUUAAGAACACUUGGCCUUACCCCAUCAUUUUGAGCCAUGUCUAGGUAGAAUCGGCAAGAUUGAAUCGAGGCCCGCCCGGGCACCACCGGGGGACAAUCAGACCAACCAGUAGGCUUUCUUUCUGAAGUUUCCUCCUGGGGCCCUUAAAUCAUUGAAUUCAUAGGCAUAGGGGCGUCCCAGGCAGUGGUUCAUUCAAUGAGAAAGAAAGACAGGAGGGCAGGAUUCGUCGUGUCGGGCUAAUUCAUUCUGGGAAAAAAGGGGGAAGGGAGUCACCUGAGCUAUGCGAAGGGAAGGAAGUCGUGGGCUGAGCCGGAGGUCACUUUUCCCGAUCCAUCCCGAAGGGUUUUUUCCCUCUCUCGCCCCAUCAUCGUACCGAGUCCUGCUAUCGGCUCAUCCCUAUCUAUUCAUCUCUUUUUUUACAGAGAUUUUUUGGAUCUCUCUUGUUCAUAGAUCUUGAAAGCGGAUCAAUCGAAAUUUCUCAAAGGAUCUAUCUAUAGAAAGAUCUAGAUCUCUAUCAUCAUCUAUCUCUAUAUCUAGAUAUGGAAGAACCCUCAAAGCCAGUUGAGGGAGUCCUGGACUAGGGGGUGUCCGGAUAGCCGGACUAUCAUCAUCGGCCGGACUCCAAGACUAUGAAGAUACAAGAUUGAAGACCUCGUCCCGUGUCCGGAUGGGACUUUCCUUGGCGUUGAAGGCAAGCUUGGCGAUACGGAUAUGUGUAUCUCCUACCAUUGUAACCAACUCUGUGUAACCCUAGCCCUCUCCGGUGUCUAUAUAAACCGGAUGGCUUUAGUCCGUAGGACGAACAACAAUCAUACCAUAGGCUAGCUUCUAGGGUUUAGCCUCCUUGAUCUCGUGGUAGAUCUACUCUUGUAACACCCACAUCAUCAAUAUCAAUCAAGAAGGACGUAGGGUUUUACCUCCAUCAAGAGGGCCCGAACCUGGGUAAAACAUCGUGUCCCUUGUCUCCUGUUACCAUCCACCUAGAAGCACAGUUCGGGACCCCCUACCCGAGAUCCGCCGUUUUUGACACCGACAUUGGUGCUUUCAUUGAGAGUUCCUCUGUGCCGUCACAAUUAGGAGGGAUGCCUUUUCCCAUCGUUAAAGAUGGUGCCGUCAUCAAGGGAGCUUUGGCCCCCGGCCAAACUAUCCGGCUAGGCGGUUUUCUUAUGACCGCCUGUUCGGCCGCCGCUCCGACAAUGACCUCUCGAGUCAUCAAAAGCGAUCUUCACGUCAACUCGGAAUUCGCCGAGCAGCUAGAUCCAAUGGAGCUCUCCUCCAUAAAUGAGCUCUUGGAUCGCAUUGCCGCCCUGGGAGUCUCCACAGACUACGAUCAGAUUGGGCUUAAAACCGAUCUGAGAGAAAUUAACUCUCCCCAGGCUACCCACCACGUUGUCGUGGUAGAGGAACAACGCAGCAACUCUUCCUCUAUGUUAAAAACCAGUUAUGUCCAGAUUCCCGAUCCCUUCAUGCCAGAUUCCCGCGGAAGGAUGGAUGUCAAUCAAGUACUGAACCUAAAGUCAGGCAUCAGACCAGAUUUGUCGGAUAACAUCCAGUAAUCCAAGCUUCCAAAUCCGGAAACUUCUCGGCCUUUGAGCCUCAGACCGGGCGGGGUUCCGAAUUUAAUUCCACCCGCCCACCCAAACAUAAGCAAUCUAUCUCAAAUACGACAAGACCCCGAUGAAACAGUACAUCACUACUGGGCCAGAUUCCUCCUGGUCGUGGACAGGAUAAAAGACUGCCAUGAGGAAAGUGCAAUCUCAAGUUUCUGCAACAAUUGCACGGACAAGGGAAUCAUGAAGGCCAUAAGUCGUCACGAAGUUACACGCUUCGCCGAUCUGGCAACCAUUGUACAAAAAUAUUGUGCGAUGGAGAGUGCCUGGAAAACCGAAACCAGGUUUUGGGACAAUCCGGCCCUGAAUACAACCCUAGUUCGAAAUAAAAGGGUGCGUCAUACUCAAGGACCUGGGUUAAAAACCAAAAAGCAGAAACCCCCUACAGGGCACGGAACCGUACUGGAGGGAUGGCUCAACGGACCCUGUAAAAUCCACAGUAUGGAGGGCGCCACUCCAACACAUAUCCUUGGAGCAUGUUGGAUAUUACGGCAGGUUGCCAAAAGUGGCGAAAGCUUCCUAGCCCCGGGCAACCAGCACAACAGUACCAGUACGGUAUCAAUAGUCUUCGAGACUUUCGCAUCAAAUAACAUGCGGAAACGAACAAUCCGCAGCCUCGCCAAAGUCUACCAAGUAGCAACAAAAAAUCCAUGGAGCGAUACGGCUAUCACCUUCAAUGCCAGCGAUGAACCUAAAUUCCGAACAGCUCGAGCACCAGCCGCAUUGGUCCUCAGUCCGAUAGUGGACGGCUUUCGUCUUACCAAGGUACUCAUGGAUGGCGGCAGUGGAUUAAACCUCAUCUACGAGGAAACCCUCCAAAAAAUGGAAAUUGACUGGAGCCAUAUUGAGCGAAGCAGCACAACCUUCAGAGGAAUAAUCCCUAGUCAAGAAGUACGCUGCGCAGGAAAAAUCACACUAGAUGUAGUGUUCGGCUCGCCGGACAAUUACAGGUCCGAAGAGGUCACGUUCCAAGUGGCCCCAUUCGGCAGCGGAUAUCACGCCUUGUUAGGGAGAGAGGCAUUCACAAUCUUCCAAGCUAUACCCCAUUAAGGGUACAUGAAGCUCAAAAUGCCUGGGCCGAAUGGAAUAAUCACUCUUGCCAGUGAUCCAGAUAUAGCACUCCGCGCUGAAAAUAAGACAGCCGCACUGGCCCUAGAGGCAUUAUCGGAAGCCCUAGCGGCAGAGGAACUCACUGCGCUGCGCUGCACGGUGGAUAGGGACGAUGUGAUACUCGAUAAGAGGUCUAAAUCCACCUCUUUUAAACCAGCAGAUGAAAUAGUCAAAUUCCAGGUCCAUCCAACGGACCCUACAAAGACGGCCUCCAUUGGGGCACAAUUAAAUCCUGAUGUAGAAUCCGCACUACGAGAAUUCCUUCGGGAAAACUGGGACAUUUUUGCCUGGCACCCUUCAGACAUGCCAGGAAUCCCACGCAGGCUGGCAGAACACAACCUAAAUAUCCUAAAAGGAUUCAAGCCAGUCAAAUAGGCUAUUCGGCGAUUUUCCGAACCCAAAAGAUAUAAAACAUCCAGACUGGCUAGCCAACCUGGUAAUGGUACCCAAAAAGGACAAAUCCUGGCGCCUUUGUGUCGAUUUGAAAGACCUUAACAAGGCAUGUCCAAAGGACCCUUUCCCUCUCCCCCGUAUCGACCAAAUCAUCGACGCCACUGCAGGACACGAUUCAUUGUGCUUCCUCGACGCAUACUCCAGAUACCAUCAAAUUAAGAUGGCGGAAAAAGACCAGACCACAACGGCAUUCAUUACUCCGUACGGACCAUUCUGCUUCAACACAAUGCCCUUCGGACUCAAAAACGCCGGCGCAACAUAUCAGCACAUGAUUCAGACAUGUUUGGCCACCCAGAUAGGCAAAACAAUGGAGGCGUACGUAGACGAUGUGGUCGUUAAGACCAAACACGUCGAAACUCUAAUAGACGAUUUGAGCUUACAUUCUCCAACCUCCGAGCAUACGACAUUAAGCUCAACCCGGAAAAUUGUGUUUUCGGCGUACUAGCCGGUAAGCUCUUGGGCUUUAUUGUAUCCGGUAGAGGAAUUGAAGCAAACCCAUCCAAGAUCCGGGCUCUGUCACAAUUGGAUAUCCCAAAAGACCUCAAACAGAUACAAAAAUUGACGGGAUGCGUGGCGGCUCUAAGCCGCUUUAUCUCCCGUUUGGGAGAAAAGGCGCUGCCCCUCUAUCGCCUCCUCCGGCGCACCGAACACUUUGAAUGGAUGGAUGCUGCCACAGCCGGACUCGAAGAAAUUAAGGCCAUAUUGGCAACAAAUCCGGUGCUGGCUGCGCCCAACUUGGGCGAGCCCAUGUUAUUAUAUAUCGCGGCAACACAUCAAGUUGUCAGCGCCGUACUCGUCGUCGAACGAGAAACAGAAGGGCAAAAAUUCCCUCUUCAAAAACCAGUGUACUACGUAUCCACUGUCUUAACUCCAUGCAAGUCCCGGUGCCCACAUUAUCAAAAGAUAGCGUACGCGGUGUUCAUGGCAUCCCGGAAGCUGCGACACUACUUUCAAGAGUGUUCCAUAACGGUGGCCUCUGAAGUACCUCUCAACGAUAUUAUAAAUAAUCGCGAUGCGACGGGCAGGAUUGCAAAAUGGGCCAUUGACCUCUUACCAUUUGACAUAACCUACAAACCACGGCGAGCUAUAAAGUCGCAUGUUUUGGCUGACUUCAUCGCCGAAUGGACCGAAGCCGAACUCCCUAAAGAGUACAGUGCAUACUCCAAUUGGAUCAUGCAUUUCGACGGCUCCAAAAUGUUGGCUGGCUUGGGGGCUGGCGUCGUCUUGACGUCCCCAACCGGAGACACAGUCCAAUACGUACUUCAAAUAAUGUACAUGGACUCCAACAAUGCAGCCGAAUACGAGGCCCUUCUACAUGGCCUCCGGAUGGCAAUCUCCAUGGGUAUUCAACGCCUAGAGGUGCGUAGGGAUUCAAACCUCGCAAUAUCCCAAGUAAAUGGAGACUUUGACGCCAAAGAUCCAAAAAUGGCAGCCUACCGUAACGCCGUCCUAAAAAUGUCAGCCCGGUUCGAAGGACUCGAAUUCCACCAUGUAGCCCGGGAUAAUAACUAGGCAGCAGACGUGUUGGCACGCAUCGGCGCAAAAUGCGACGCCGUCCCUCCAAACAUCUUCCUGGAACGGCUUUUUAAUCCAUCCGUAUUAUGGGAAGAGGAGUCCGGAAAUAACAAGCCGGAACCAACUGCACCACCCAACACAGAACAUUCUGACAUAAUUGGUGGCUCAGCCAAUGAAAUAACACCUUCAGCCCACGAAAUAAUGGCAGUAAUUACCCCGUUGAUAGAACCAUUCCUAGCCUACUUAAUCAGGCAGGAACUUCCCGAAGACCAAAAUGAGGCCCGCUGCAUAGUUCGGCGAUCUAAAGCCUACAAGGUCCAUGAGGGAGAACUUUAUAAGAAAAGCACAACCGGAGUCCUUCAAAGGUGUAUCUCCGAAGAGGAAGGGCGAAAUCUCCUGGCUGAAAUUCACGCCGGACUCGGCGGGCACCACGCUGCAGCCCGGGCCCUUGUAGGCAAGGCCUUUCGUACAGGAUUCUAUUGGCCGACAGCUCGGGCAGAUGCUCAGGACUUAGUACAAAGAUGCGUUGGUUGCCAGCUCUUUGCUAAUCAAAGCCAUAUGCCACCCACUGCCCUCAAAACUAUACCCAUCACUUGGCCGUUCGCAGUCUGGGGGCUUGACAUGGUUGGACCCCUUAAAGGGGGAACCCACAAGCACAAAUAUUUAUUGGUCAUGGUGGACAAAUUCACCAAAUGGAUAGAGGCCAAGCCGGUUAAAACGGCAGAAUUCGGACCUGUGAUAGACUUCAUAUCCGGGGUAGUACACCGUUUUGGCGUCCCCCACAGCAUAUCACUGAUAACGGCACGAAUUUCACGGCCGACGAGGUUAAACUCUGGUGCAAAAACAUGGGCAUCAAGCUCGACUACGCUUCAGUCUACCACCCUCAAACUAACGGUCAAGUGGAACGAGCAAAUGGUCUAAUCAUGAGCGGCAUUAAACCCAGAUUAGUGUGGUCCCUCACAGAAUCUAACACGCACUGGGUAGAGGAGCUCGACUCCGUACUCUGGGGCUGCGGACCACGCCAAACCGCACUAUCGGAUUCACACCAUUUUUUAUGGUAUACGGCGCCGAGGCAGUUUUGCCCUGCGAUAUAAUUCAUGACUCACCUCGCGUGCGCAUGUACGAAGAAAGAGAAGCCGAGUUGGAUCGGCAGGACAGUUUGGACGCCUUAGAGGAGGAGCGCGACGUGGCAAAAUCCCGUUCCGCAUUCUAUCAGCAGCAGGCUCGAAGAUAUCAAAGCAGAGAAGUACGGGCCAAAACUUACAAUGUUGGCGAGCUAGUUGUACGCCUGCCGGACAAGAAAAAGGACAAACUUAAGCCCAAGUGGAAAGGUCCCUUCAUCAUCGACCAAGUCCUUACCGGUGGUGCAUACCGUCUACGUGACGCAUCUAACAACCGACUCGAGCCAAACCCAUGGAACGCAGCCCGUCUCCGAAGAUUCUACGCCUAGCGCCGGACUCAGAGUUCGUCUCCUUCCUCAGUCCACCUUUCAUAUUUUUUCGUUGUCUUUGUUUUCCCUCCUUUUCGUCCCUCUUUCAGUACAAGCCUCUUGAGGGCUGAUCUGCACUUUGUUCGCACUCACUCGAUGUGCUACUCGCACUCGUUAUACCUGGGGGCUUCUUUAACAGAAGCUUAUCUAUAUGGGCUUCAUGCCCAAAACAUGUGUCAUACUUCCGCAUGUACCUUUUACUCACCAUUAUAUGCAUCGAUAUGACUUAAGUUUUGGCCAAGCUGGGUUGCCUGGCUCCUGUGCUUACCCCUACGUUCCCGUUUGUUCGGCUAGGCGCUAAAGGGAGCACCUCUGCGAUUGUUACUGCCGGGUUAGCCGGAUGUGUACCUCAGACUGGGUGAAGCCGAAGGCUAGCGUUCUUAAGGGAAUAUUUGGUCGGUGACCUGAAAGAUGAUUUAUUAGUUAUUUAUUUAUCUGCCCCCAGAUGCUUUUUCUGCUCUUUUCGCAGUCCGGUCAUGCACUUUAGGGCAUGCCUCCCAGGGAAAGGAACCCCUAACGGAACUAUUCUCCCUGGAAGAUGUUUCUUACUAACCAUGUAAUAUAACAUAGCUAGUUGGGCACUUGUCUGAUAAAGCACUUAUGACCCCUACGCCUUGUCUCCAUGCAUGCCCCGGUUUUUUUAACCGUAAGGGUAUUCGGACACACUUCGGACUAUUGGGUCCCGAGGUUGAAGCAAAACGGUCCGCAAAGAAAAACGAUCUACAAUCUGGCUAGAAGGCAUUUUACAUGUGAUUUUAAAUUACAUCGUCAAACUGACUGAUUGUACUCCUCUUCAAUCCCAUCUAACAAGCUGUCUAAUUUACAGUCUUGUUGGGAAUAUUUCACGGCCAACUCUACUUGGCCGUACAUCAGACUCACAGGGAUCUCCUUCCCAUCAGGCCCCGCAGGUCCGACCUCGGCCAUGUGGUUUGGAUCAGACUUCGGGUACCGCGUCUUCACCAUGGCCCAGGCCUCCCUGGCGCCUUGACGGCUGGCUGAUAUCUUCCACAGACGGAGACACCGCCGUACUCCCUGAAGCUUCUCAGCAAGCCCUCCAAGACCCUCUGGUAGGGAGACGGAAGGCCAUAAGGCCUGAACGAUGCUGCUCAUCGCCUGCUGAACACGUUCGUGUAGUUGCAGCAGCUCGGGAAGAGGGUCUCCUGUGGAACCAGGCAUCUCCUUCGCCGGACGACCCGUGAGCACACCUACAGACACAUUUCUGUCAAUCGACUUCCUCGCCAAACUCUUCUUUUCAAAAGAGUUUGCUCAAGCACUUACUAUAAAUGCCGCGACGAAGCUGCCGAUUCUCCUUUACGAAGUUAGACAGCUGGACCCGAACAUCUUUUAGUUCUUCGCCCAGCUGGGUGUUGGCAUCUUGGAGUUUGUUCCUCUCCUGUUGCACCUUCAUAAGCACCUUCUCGCCGGCCUUCAGCUGGCGCAGCAGAUGUUGCUUGUCCGGAUCUAGUCCGGCACCUUCUGCAAUAUUAUUGUCAGACUAUACACACGUCGCACUUCAUAAACUAUUUCUCUUUUCGAAAUAUGAAUUACCAGAGGGGGUCUCUGUGGCUCCCCUGGCAGCGGCCAGUGCGGCCUCAAGUUGGGCCUUGCAUUCUUGAAGCUCCUGGGACAGGUGGGUAUUCUUCUCUGUUAGAUCCUGCAUAACAAAUGAUCCUUAAAUCAGUUAGUUUAACUAUUUUAAGUCUCAGGGGAUACUGGCAUAUAUAGCUAUUAAAAUUCCUCACCCGUAUGUCUUUUACAUACUGCUCCGUGGCUCUGGUUAAACCAUCUUGAGCAGCACAGAGGUGCGCGUCUCCCACAUUAAAGGCAUUCAACGCCUCGGGGGAGAAACACGCGUGACGAAGAACUGUCCAACGGCGCCUGUAAUUCAUGGCGCUCUCCACCUCGGACCUGGUGGCGGACAACCUGUCGGCAUCCUCCGUUGGAGGAGCAUCUGGCUCGCGCCUUGCGCUCGCCUCCCUCUCCGGACCAGGCGUUGGAGCUUGGCUGGCGGAGGCUUGGUUGGAAACCUCUCCGGACUUAGUCUGGCGAGCGCUCUUUCUCCUGGAAGAAUCACGAGCAUUGAUAUACCUCCCAGCAGUCUUUCCCUUAAAGGACAAUGGUGCACCAUACCUUUGCGGCGACGUUUCGAUUCGCGCCGCACUCCUCUUCCGCCUGCUGGGCCGCACUGACCUUGGUUGGUCGGUCGCCGCGGGCUCGGCUUCCCGCCAAAAAGGCACCUCCUGCAAAGCACCAUUGGUACACGGUGGUCAGAAAUAAGCAUUAAAAAGGUGACGGUGUCAACUUCGGUCGUACUCACCUAGGAAGCCGGGGAUAAACCGGGGUAGUCAGCCAUAAUGGCGACUAGAGCAUUGUCUAUGCUGAGCUGGUGGAACACCCCGUCGAUCAGUUCCACCGUUAUGUCCGGAUCUUCUCCGGAGGCUGGAUCAAGGGAUCUUCCCGGAUCCUCGGGUUGCAGAGUCGGGCUUUCUAUGCCCUCCACAUCCCGGCGCAGUUCCUGCAUCGAAAUCAUAAAAUAAGAUACUUAUCUUUGAAGGCAUGGAUCGGAUAUAUAAACGUUCGCUUACCCAGCUCCGAGGGUUAUUCAUGGAGAAUCCAUUCAAUGGACUCGUGCGGAGGAAGUCCUCCUUCUCCCCCUUGUACAAGCCGGACAGGAUCUUCGCCAGAUCGGCGGCGGAUCCCGGCCCCUUGCGACCAUGAUGGGUGGCGUCAUUCUCCCCGUUAAAAUCCCACAUAGGGUGGCCCCUAUAUUGGAGCGGCUGCACCCCUCGCAUAAUGCAUGUGGCCAUGACUCCAAUCAUGGUUAAUCCGGAAUGGGACAGUAACCGUAUCCGGCCCAUCAGGUAAUGGACGCUCCUAUCAUCUUCGAGUUGAGGGCUCCGCGGGCGCCAACUCAGGCGUUUCUUCAAAGGAGCGUUGCUAAACUCCGGGAGGCCGAUCCGAACUGGAUCCGGCAGCGGGGCGUCUUCCAUAUAGAACCACUCCGAAGGCCAGUCUUCGGACGCCUUCUUUGGGGUUCCGGAUAGAUAUCCGGUCCCGGCGAUGCGCCAUAUUUCGGCUCCGCCCACUUGAUAUAUCGACCCCUCGUGAGAACGGGGUACGAGGCAAAACAGUCUCUUCCACAGCACAAAAUGGGGCUCGAUGCCUAAGAACAGCUCGCAAACAGCUACAAAUCCCGCGAUGUGCAAAAUGGAGGCAGGUGUGAGGUGGUGAAGUUGGAGUCCGUAGAACUCCAGGAGCCCCCGGAGAAACGGAUGUAUGGGAAAUCCGAGUCCCCUUAUUAGGUAAGGGACGAAGCAUACCCGCUCUCCUUUGGAGGGAUUGGGGACGCUCUCCGCCUACUUCCCUCCCUUGUAGGUGGCCAGUCCGGCUCGAACCGGAACCAUAAAGGCUAGGGGAAGGUAUCCCUCUGCUUGGAGCGUCACUAACUCGCUAUGCGGGACUGAGCAUCUCCUCCAAUCUCCUGGCUGAGGACUGGGAGCGCGAGAAGAGGAGCCGCGUCGACUAUCCAAGUUGGAAUGGAUUCUUGUCAAAUGCGCUUCAAUGAGUACUUGCGGAAGGAGGAUGGUGUGAUUCGAAUCUGGAUCCACACCUCUCUUAUAGGCGGCUUACUCGCGCAGCUAGGGGGUAAAACGUAAAAAUACCCUGGCUUUUCGCAUUCAUGCAACACGUGGAAGGGGGCCAUUAUUGGACGUGGAAGCUAAGGAGCGCAGCAUUUAUGAAGAAACCGAACACUAUUCGGCUAACACAUGGAACAUGGAGAAGAACCCGCCUUGCAAACGCCGAAGACAACAUAUGCGCCGAACUCGUCGUCAUUGAAGCCUGGUUCGGGGGCUACUGAGGGAGUCCUGGACUAGGGGGUGUCCGGAUAGCCGGACUAUCACCAUCGGCCAGACUCCAAGACUAUGAAGAUACAAGAUUGAAGACUUCGUCCCGUGUCCGGAUGGGACUUUCCUUGGCGUAGAAGGCAAGCUUGGCGAUACGGAUAUGUAGAUCUCCUACCAUUGUAACCGACUCUGUGUAACCCUAGGCCUCUCCGGUGUCUAUAUAAACUGGAUGGCUUUAGUUCGUAGGACGAACAACAAUCAUACCAUAGGCUAGCUUCUAGGGUUUAACCUCCUUGAUCUCGUGGUAGAUCUACUCUUGUAAUACCCACAUCAUCAAUAUCAAUCAAGCAGGACGUAAGGUUUUACCUCCAUCAAGAGGGCCCGAACCUGGGUAAAACAUCGUGUCCCUUGUCUCCUGUUACCAUCCGCCUAGACGCACAGUUCGGGACCCCCUACCUGAGAUCCGCCGGUUUUGACACCGACACCAGUCCCCAACGACGAUGCCCUUUGGGCGAAAGGAAAGGGGCCGCCAUUCUCUUUCUUUCCUCAAUCGUUCCGAUCAUUUAUCUCAUUCCCUUUUGUUUGUUUUUUCGGGUUGGUUCGUUUCCUCCUCCUAUCUACGCAAUUCUCUGUCUUCGUUCGUGAUCGUCUUAGGCGAAAGGAUAGGUAUAAAUUUUGUGGAGGGGCGGCUGUGAAAGGGCGAUUCCCCCUUUUCCAUUGAAGUAGGGAAGGGGGUGAUUGAUCUUUUUUUUGAAUCAGGCCUUACUGACCAAGUGGUGGUAUAAGCUUCAUUGCAGAUGAAAAGAAGUCCUUGUGAGCGGAGCUACAAAAGGAAGUUCAAGCUCAAGAAAUCCUCUCAAUAGGGAUUGGGCAAGCAAGUGGUUUGUUUAUUUGAUCUUACCCGGUUGUGAGAUGGGACGUGAAGUCAACCAAGUACAUGUGUGUUCAUAGUGUCCCCAGCACCUUCCUCCUAGCUGAGUAUGAAUGCUGAAGUUAGCUGGAGUGUGGGGCGAGUGCGUGGUAGAUGGAACUCCUAUUUACCGCAUUUCUUCUUGCACUUCCAACUUGAAGAGGAAGAAGCAUCUCUCUUUGCAUCUUCAAUAGAUAGGAAAAAGGAUCUUGACCUGAAGCCUUCGACCAAUGAAAGGGAGACUUGGUGAAGUCAGAGGUGGUUUUCCUUCCCUAGAUUCAUGGAAGGACUUUUUGAAGUUUGAGUGAGGAAGGAAAGCGGGAAAGGUCUGAUACAAAGGAAAGGGUUGCGAGGCUUAACGAUUUAGAAUAUAGCUGUUGAGGUGGCACCUGUUACCCCGGGGCAGGGGUAUAUGCCCGUAGCUUUCUUCUGUCACUUCUUUCGGAUCAAUGAAGUGGAAAAGUAAUAGAGUAAGGGACCCUUGUUUACAAAGAAAGCUGUCACUCCAAGAACUCGAAGUCAAGCAUCUUCGGGAAUAUCCAGAUUAGUAUUCAACUAGAGAAAGGAUAGAAAUCUCCUUUGCUGAGUUUUCUUCUCCAGCAGAUGUAGCGGUAAAAGAUUCUAUUCUUUCCGCGGUCUAGUUACGUCUUUCCUCUCCCUAUCUAAAGAGCUCUAUUAACAUAGACCCUCUCCUGACUCUCUAUCAUUUUAAGAAAGCAGCAAAUCCUUCUCUCUAUUCUACUAUCCGAUCUCGUCUGUUGAAAAUCGAUCUGAAAUAUGGUCAUAUCUUCGUUAUCCCAAUAGUAAACCUUCUUAGUUCUAUUCGCAUCUCGGAAGAUGCAAAAGAUCUGUUAUUAGCUUAUUUGUAAGCUGUCGAAGGUCCUUAAAAGCCUUGAUUUGUGGCUUACGGCUUACUUGCCUUUUUCCUUAAAGCCUAUAUAGACAGACAUAGACUGAGGGCAUUCUGGGCAUCCAUGCUCCUGGCAAUGGUAAGAUCCGAGAUGUCAGUUGCUUGGCUUCAAGCCUCAACCUUAUUAUUACUCCUACUAGGGUAAUCAGGUUUAAGUUAAGCCCGAACAGCUUAGUUUUCCACUUCUCUUCUGACACAAGCUUCUUUGCCAAGCCUUCCCCAUCAACUGGAAAUCCAGUAAGAAAGGCAAGGGGCGCAACGGCAAGGCAAUCUCAAAUCAUAAUGGGAGUUUUAUUUAGGUUUAUUUAGAUAGAUUCACCUUUGGGGUUGUUACAGAAUCGGUUCUUCAAGAAGGAGCUCUUUCUACAGUGGAUGCAUCGAAUGCAAGCUAUAAGGAAGAAUAAUUCUCUUAGCAGACAAGAAUGAAAUUCAAUUAGUCCCACACUUCCCGGAGGAAUCGAAGAGUACGCAAGCACAUUCAUUUAAUGGGAAAGCUUUCCUUGGCUAGGCCCCUAUGAAGAAAGAUGCCAAUUCCCAAAAGCAGUAACAAUAGCAAUAGCGGUAGGAGUAGCAUUAGGAAUUAAGACCGUCGGGCCUCAUUCAUCAAAGUAGCAGUCCUUAGGGGAUGAAAAAGAGCCCAGAUUCCCCGCAACAAGCUUGGAAAGGAAGAAGACACGAAGGGAGGAGUUCCGCUUAGCCUUUCAUCCUCUUUGAUAGAAGUAGCUCUUUUGUUUGCCAGAAUGGCUUGUUAGCAAGAAAAUGCCUUCUUAGGAAGUGAAGAAGAAUACGCCUGCUUGAGAAUGCCCUCUUGUUGUUCUCGAAAGAUGGAGGGGGCAGAUUUCACUAAGGAAAGGAACUGAACUAAUGGACGAGGAGGAAGAGAAUAUAGAAAAAUUGCCGACAUUCAAGCAUACUAUAGAUGUUACAGAAUUGCUAAAGGGAAGUUCUAGUAGAAAGGACAACUAAGCGAAAGGCCUUCUUAGAAAGGCAGAGUGACAGGUAAUGCCCUAUUUCCUAACAGUGAAAUCUAAGAUCAGACAAGAAAGAAGCUAAAGGCUAGGCAAAGAAGACGAGGGAGAAAUCGUAGGUGAAAACGUUGGGUUACCAACUCGGGUGGGUUCUCACACCAAAGUUCCUUUGCUUCGGGCAAGCCCAAUUACAAACAAAAGAGAAGGUCGGUCCCGUACUCAGACCAAAUCAGAAGGGCGGUACUCACUCGGAUGGAAGAAUCCCAGGUCGGUCCCGAUACCCGAACAAAGGCUAGACCGAAGGUCCCGUCACAUGGGUUAGGUGCUUAGCUGAAGGUGGAAGGCGAAGCCAAGGCAAGAGCAAGGGUUGAAAGACAAUAUAGAAGAUCGGAACUCAAUACGAUUCAACCAAUCCAAAUUGCUUUGCUAAAGAUACCCGUUCCGCUGUUCCUUUACCGGCAACAACUAUUGAAUAACAACCUUCGCUUUUCUUUCGCAUCGGAUCUCGGCAUUAGCAAAUCUAAAAAUAGAGUAGAUCCCGGGGCGUACCUAAUGGUUUCAUUGAUUUUAAUGGAUUGAUCCAUUGUACUGUUGUAGGAAUCCUCAUCCGAUGUAUGAAUCCCGUGGAGGAAUUGGGGAAACAAAUCCAAUUAUUUGAUUUUGAUAGGAGCAGUGCCGGUAUUGAGGGUUUAUCUAUCUCUUCACUCAUGAAGUUAAUACAAGUGAGGAUUGAUUUCAGUUAUUCAUAUAAGAAAUAAGAGGAAUAAAUAAUCUCGGGGAAGACAGGCUUUCUCGCUCUCGGCACAUCUUCGCUAGGGAUUCUUCUCUACCUUCUUGUGUUGAGAUGCCAUCAACUCUUUCCUGGGGAAUCAGGUCAAUACAAUACUCUUGGAAAAGCAAGCUAUAGCAGAUCCUUGAGUAUAGAGAAAAAGGAAUGGAGUUUCAUUAGCUCUCUGCGCACAUCCAGUAUAAUACCUUUGCGAGCCCCUAUGGAAAGGGGUGUCGUGUUCUCUUUACAAUGGGGGUGAUCCUGGUUUCCAAAAGCUGCUGGUUGGUUGUAUCUUUUUCUAUUGGCAAUCCCCAAUCCGUUUCUUGUUCGUUAUGAACAAAAGAAGCCGAUCCCAGUUUUGGUGUUUAUCCAGCGGAGGCUCGUAUCUCUUCCAUGUGAGACCAGCAACCUCAGAUCAUCCUGGACUUAUGUGCUGGAAUAGCUUCGUUAUGAGUUGAAGCAACCUCAGCUACUAUUCCUACUAAGGAGGAGUCGCCUUUUUCAAUUCCCUCCCUUUUGCAAUCCCAUGUUGAUGUAAGGAAGCUGGUUUAGAGUAUUGGCAAAAAAAAUUACAUGCAGGUCCAGAUCUCCUUGAGUUCGUUGGUGGUUGACUACCGGGAAAGGGCAGAAUAGCAACAGUGAGGAAGCAUACCACCCAAAGCAAGACGUGAAAACCUUCUUCGUAUCCAAAAGCCCCUUUUAGUCUGUCUGGCCUUAGUAUUUAUGGUACAUAAUCGCAUAUUCUCCCCCUUUCUCAUAUCUCCACGGAAGUAAGUACUGGUAUGAUCGGAACUAGUAUUUAGAUAUAUGUGACCCUCUAGCGGUUUGACUCCGUUGAUGGUAUACAGAACUUCCUUCCUGCGAAAGGUCGAGUUCGUAAAUCAAGCUUGUAGAAAAAGCGAGUACCGGUAUUUGAUGGUGAUGGUGAGGAUGACUAACCUUGCUCUUGGAACCAUGAAUAUUUUCUAGAUACUACGGGCAUAUACCUUCUUCCGAAGGGUCCCCAUCCUAUCUUUUUCGCCUUCCGCUCUAGAAUCGACUAUUGGUGGGUUGUAACGUGAACCUAUGGAUCUCAAUGAACAGCUUCGAUACCACAAAAGGAUGGGCAAGAAAGACAGCAGGUGUUGAGCCAAAGCCCUAGUUCAUACACAAUCAUGAUGUCGGUCAACCAUCUGAACCGGGAUUCCUGUUAUUCAUACGAAGGAACAAGAAAAGAAGAAGUAUGGGAUAAAUGGUUUUUGAGUUGGGCAUGAUGAAAGCGGGUACAAUGGCAUUACUUAGAAGCUAUUAUGUCCUGUCUUGGCUUUAGCAAUAAGCUUGUGCGACUGAUGACUCCCUCCAUCCCUGGCAUCGCCAAGACUAAUGGAUAAGGUUUUGUCGCAUCUUAAUCGAACCGCAUGCGGAGCUCAACUCCUAAGAAAAUAAUAAGAAAUAUCUAGUUUUGUUUCAUAAGUGGCGAGCCAAGGAAUAAGAAUACCGCCCCCUAAUCUGUAUUUCAAAAGCGGAUUUAGCGUUGUAAGAAAUAGAAUUAUGCAUAGAUUGACUUGUAAAGAAAGACGAACCGAACAGUGCUAAGCAAAACUCUCUUAUUUCUAUGCUCGAUUCAAUCUCUACUCAUCUGCUUUUAGUUCUACUUUCUGUAUACGAAGUCCAAGCUUUUCGAGCUGCUCAGUUCUUGCUAUGUCAUUUCUUGGUUUUUAGUGCAUUCACUCAAUUCUCUGUGAAGUCCACGGACAUGUUGUGGUUCAUUGCAGAGAACAACCAUCACAUGGAUCAAGCUAUAAGGAAUCACCCGCGAGCGAGGGAAAGUCUCAAUUACAGUAGUUAUGGAAUACACCAAUCAUAACUCUGGUCUGGUCCCUAGUUCCCUAAGUAGUUAGUGAAACUUCCAGCUGGACUGACUGGAUUUAGAGCUUAAUGCUCCUAUCUUUGAACUAGACUCUUAGCGAUUAUUUCAUGAAGAUAGCUACUUUAAUUGAUACAAGAAUGCCUACUUUGGACUAAUAGGAUCUACUCCUACUUGAAUGCCAAUCCAAUAUCUUUCCCAAUAGGAAUUCCUAAUCCCUAAAUCCAAGCAAGGCAUGAUUGUUAGUCAGGAUAACCAGCUUACGUACCGCAUUAAGAAGUACUGACUAUGCUUUUUUCCAAACUUUUCUUGCAGUACUUCAGUAAAGCUACCCCAUUUUAAUAACAUAGGGAUUCGAGAUAUCAUCAUUUUCACAGGUCCUUGUCAAGCUGCAGCAGAAUCAGAUUCGAGUAUAGCAUCAUUUAGUUGGAGUUCUGAAAUAAUCUGGAUCCCCUUUGCUAUUUUAGCAAUCUCUGCUGCUCAGUUUCAUCCCUUUCUAAGGUAGAAAACCCAUCCAUAUAUGUACGAGUGAGAGAUGUCUUCCGUCCCGGAGAACCGUCUUCUCUCCCUCCUUAGGAAAAGGAGAUCUAGGUAGAGGAGGUAGAAAAUAAUAGAUACCAUCUAUUCUAUUAACUAGUCAUCAAAAAGCAACCUAUAUAGAGGUCAAGUUUGAUAGGGUGAAGUGGACUAUUAGAUCCCCGGCUUACCAUUAGAAAUAAAGUUUAGCCGCCGAUGUCAAUGUGUUAAGCACAUAGGAUAUAUUCGGCGAAAGUCAGUAAGAAGUAGAGUGAAUUCUGAAACUCCAGCAUUUAGGCCCGGAUAGAAUGGGUCCUCAAGCUUAGAAUCAUUUGGCCUAACCUUUAAGAAAAGUUAGCAUCUUUUCAUCCGGGUCGUACUAAAGGCACGUAGACCGAACACACGACACCUGUCCCAAUGGCUGGUACACUGACGGUGGCUUAUUGGUUCCUUCCUCCCUUCCAUCCUCAAGUCUUACUUUCCUUGAUGCCUUAGUUUACUUGAUGCUCGAUUCAUUCCUCCCUAUAUUCAAUCUCUCGUGCCAUAUUCUUUUUCAGGUUUGACAUUACUUCCCUUUCCUAUCUUUUUACUUUUCUCAAGGACAUAAGAUUCUUCAAAAUCCCUUUCGCAGAUCCCUUUGAUUCCAGGUUCAGAUCCAUCUAUCUCUUCUCUCCCUUUCUUUGAACCUUACUUCACAAAGUAGGACAUGCCCCCGGGGAUACUCAUAAUUAUUAUGAAUAGGUUACUCUAUCCAAUUCCUCGGAAUCAUUCACUAUCAUAGUCAGUCUCACCUUCGCUCAGUUGAGGGAUACUAACAUCACCAUCUGCACUGACGAAUAUCUGAGAUUUUUCAGGGUUCACGUGCAUGCCCCCGCCACCACGUUCGAUCACGGAAAUAAAUCCACUUAGAUUUACGUGCCUUAAGAUGUCCAGAAUUUGAGGACGGUCAAGAUGAUAUGAAUCAUAGCAUGUUGAAGCUAGAAGGACAUUGGUGUCCCAUCUUGUAUAAAGAACACCUUCAUACCAGCUGAGGACCUCCCGAUCGAAUUGAUGUUGCAAAAAGAGAUUUAGGAGCACGUCACUCAAUUCACCUAUCAAUGGUAUACAAUUCGAAUGAGGAAUUUGGAGGUUAGUGUCGGCAUUAUAUAUCAGGAGAGAUAGAAAUUCCUUUAAGAUGUGGGAAAUCACACCCAGAUUGUGUAGAAAUUUUAAUGUAUUCCAUAGACGUGGAGUAGAAACAUAGUGGAUACUAUGACUCAAAUCCACACAUACUCUUUUAUCUACACCCCUUUGACCAUCCCAGAACUCCUCGUGGAAACUCACCAUUUCAUUCUAAUGAGUUAAUCUAGGCAGAAGAUUGUUUCUUCUCCAUAUGAACUCCUGCAUUAAGAUAUUCGCUAAUGCUUUCAAAAGUAGUACAUCUGCUGAAAGGGAUGGGGCAGCCAUACAAGGCCAAUCACCAGCAUGGAUGAGUGGGCGCCUGGCACAACAAUACCCAACCUCAUCUUGCCUUUCCAGAGUGAAAUGUUCCUGCAAAGUCAUACCACCCCUACCAUAUUUAUAGGUUUUGUAUACCAAUUUGGGAUGAAAUGAAGAAUAACCUUCGUGUAUAUGCGACACCAUGGUAUCGAUUGAUGCAGGUAAGACGCCCCGCUGUCUCCACAUAUCAUUCGAAUUAUAGAGUCUCCUAACCUCAUUAAUCAAUUGAAGUUUCCAAAAACUACCAUGAAAUCUCCGGCGAAAAGUGACGUUGUGAUUACUUCUAGAUCCAAUGAAAACUUUCGAGAUAAUACAAAAAGUGGUCAUCAUUUCUUCCUCUUGGUAAGUUGGCUGGUUUCUUCCCAUUCUUUCUUCUUUCCACUAAUAUAAUGGUUUCAUUCUCCCAUCGAGAGGUUAUGAUACUAGCAAGAGUCCUAUUCUUCUCCUCUCGAUCCUACCUUGGGUUAUGUUUGACAGGGAUGGUCAGUGAACUUCUAUUGGUUUCAAAGGAGGAUAGAGAUCCAUUGGGGAAGGCUCGAAAGGUUAUUCGAUAUCAAAGGUUGACCCUCGACGCGCCGCAGCCACUAUUUUUACUCCUUUUAUGCAAUUAUGAAUGAAACUUUCCCGAUUCCAAUGCAACUUAUCCUUUUGGAGUUGACGUAACAAACUACGCGAGCCUCCCAAUGAAGCCAACAGAAAUCCUAUCCGAUACUAAAAAUAAAAGGCAAUUUAAUUAUGGUGGUAUACCAGCCGCCAGUUCUGGAACUUCCAGUUCCAAUCGGAGCAUAUAGAUCCGUAAAUGGAUUUGUAUGUAUAGCCACUUCAUUCGUGCUCCUCGUUUCUCGAAUGGAAAAAAAGUAUCUUCUUUCUGGGAACAUGCUAAACCAGAAAUUCUUAUGUUCGUGAUUCUUCAUCCACCGAUGCAAAAAAUCUUCCAGUUUUCUAUUCUCAUAUGAGGCAGGAAAGUUUAUGGGCAACAGGUCGGCACGGAGUGAUUCAUCAUGUUCAAACAUGAACCUUUCGCUCGUUGGGGACGGUUUAUAAAUCAUCAAAUUCCCACAAAUGGAAUGAGAAGUGGGUCCAUGUAAAUGAUCGAGACCUUGCAAAAAACAACGUUCCUUCCCCAUAUGGAGUUCGGGACGCAAGGGCAAUCAUUGAGUGAAAUGUAUCUUAUUUGUAUUAGUUGACCUAAGCCACACCAUUAUUGUAGGGGUGGGGCUCGUCCUCCGAACCGUACGUGGGACGAGUUUCUGACUCAUACAGCUCGGGCCGAAGACCGGGGAAGUUGAGGAGAGAUGGGGAGACCCAACUGCUGCCGGUCGGGACGGACGGGAAAGGGGGCGGGGAUAAGCUUGUGAAGAAGCAAGCUUAUUGCCCCACCCCCCAAAAACAAACCGACCCAGGAAGAAAACGUAUGCGCUUUAGCAACAAAGCGCUCAUCCUUUGCUUGCUGCUUCACGUUCUUUCUAUUCCAUCCCAUCCAUUCCGUGAUAGGCGGCUAAUAGAAUCUAAUAUAUGCAGUAGUCGUCGUCUGACCAAUCGGCUCGGACACCAGACCACUUGUGCCCACCCAUUCUGUCUCGCCCUAAAUGGAAUGACUCUCUUAGUUACGCUGUGCCCUGACCCGAGUCCCCACGUCCGCUUUUAUCCGCCCGCAACCUGGCCAACACAACAUUAGGGGCGUCCCCCCCCCCAUUCUAUGCUGACCCGGGCCGGGGCUCUCUUUUUGGGAAGCCCGUUCCCACCGUGCUCACAGCCCGGCUGGCCUGCUAGCGGUAGUGGGAAUUCUCCCAUUCCCUGGUCAAAAAAGGGUUGGUUGGAUGCGGGAUCUACUCCACGAGGAGCGGUACGGACGUAGAUGAUAUCAUCACGACCUCUCUUUGCGUACCGCUAGGGAUGCUUAACGCCACUUCGCCAACUGGCAUUACCUGCGCUUUCGUGUCUCUCAGUGUGGUCAGCACUGGGUGUUUCCGAGCAGCGAGGCUUACACCCAUUCACAUUAAUUCAUCCAAAGUUCCUUACCCUUAUGAACGAAUUUUGGAAUAAUCCAUCUUCCUAUCAAGGUUAAGGAGUCAACUGAGCAUCUCAGGGAUGGGAUUGAAUACCCAGAUCGAAUCAGAGUUCACGCCGCCCUCCCUGAACAAAUAGAAUAGGAGGCGUGGGCCACAGGUCGCACAUAAGCCAUUGGGUCGCACGACAGAAGAACACCCAACAUAAAGAUGCACACUCCUCCAUGUGAAAUAGAAAGAUUCAUCUUCACUUUUUUGUAGUAGUCGUGACCAACAGCCAUCAGCAGUCGGCUCAUUGGUAAGGCGAGAGCUUCAAGCCCGCUUUUUUGGUGGCACACCCGCCAAACAAGCACCACUCGACGAGGGGGGGGGGCAGGGAAAGCUACAGGCCCAAAACCUUCGACCCUUAUUUCUAUAUGGGGGUGCCCGGGGCACCUCAUCUUGUCAUUUUGUUGCUCAUUCCCCUUAGGCCGAAGUGUUUGGACAUUACUUUGGAGCGCCCACUCAUGCUUCGCUGACCUAUCGCGUGGUAAAGAGAAGAGAGUACGAAAGAAUUGUAAACAAAGCAGACCGCAGAAAGAUUCUAAAUAUGACAAGUCCCCCAUGGAUUCGAUAAUAAGGAAAUGAAGAACGGGAACAAAAUGAAAUAACGCAUUUCUAGCGGAUGAGCUUCUCUCCAUUUUGUCUGGUAAUAGAAUAGGGCGGCUUGCUUUGACCAACACUCCACGUUUUGCUCUGUCCAUGGAGCGUAUGAAUUUCCUUAAAUGUAGAUCGACCAAAAAAGGGAAUAAAGGGAUAGGAAUAGGAAUUAUAGUACCAUUGGAAGAAGAGGCACCAGUGGGAACAUCUCUACCGACGAACCAUUUCAAUAGUACGGGUGCUGCCGUGCCACGGGGCACGACCAUGGAAGUAAUGAAAAAUAAGAAGUUUUGUAGUUGGACCAUCUGCUCUAUCCGUUCGAUUUGAGCUUCUCCAGAGAAGAUGAGACGCUAAAAAUGAAAGUGUUCACAACACAUACCGAAAAAGGGUACCUAUGUUGCCGACCAUUAAUGACUAGUUCGAAGACCAGGAGCAGGGGCACGUGCCAAGAAAGAUUUGUUACUUUCCCUAUGGUUUUCGAAUAUUUUCAAUAAAACCUUCUCGUAGAAGUAUUUUCACAAAGUUUUCUGUAAUAUUAGUAGAUGCUAUUCGAACCCUUCCUUUUAUUAAGAUUUGAAUUCUUAUUCUUAUUAUUAUCUAAUUAUUCUUUUUUUCAUGUAUAUGCGUCAGACACAAUCUACUAAUUGAUCUAUAUUCUGAUACCCUACUAUAUCAUAGUCUCUACUACUAGUAUUUUUAAGACCUCAGGAGCUCAUGAGACUCUUUUAGUGAAAUUCAUAAGUCUCAAUUCCCGAGUGAUCGCACCAAAAACUCGAGUUCCUUUUGGAUUUCCUUCUUGAUCAAUGACAUCCGUCAUCAUAUCGUAUUAUCAUACCAUUGUCACGUUUGAGUUCUUUACAUGUACAUACAAUUACAGCUCGUCUUACUUUUGUCUGAUCUUUCUAGAGGCAUUUUGGGCACUGCUUCUUUGAUUACAGCAACAAUAACAUCACCAGUAUGAGCAUACCAGUGAUUACCAGCUCCUAAGAUUCGAAUACAUAUCAAUUCGAUAGCCCCACUCCGUUGUUAUCCGCUACAUUCAGAAGGGUCUGAGUGAGAUGGAUCUUGGAAGUCUGGUUUUUGAUUGGAUAGUGAUCUCGGGCACGAGUGGUUGAUCUUCGCGGGCCGUGAAUAGCCAUGGAAAGGAGUAUUGAUGUCAAUAUGUUCGAUCGAGAAGAUUGGACGAUGAAAGAAGGAUCCUUUGUGGUUUGAAUAAUAGGUUGUGGUCUCGAUAUUGGGCUAUGGGCUGAUUGCUUUCUGUAUGAGCCUCUUGUGAUUGGGCUCUCGUGGGCGGAUUACCCAAUGUGUACUCAUCUUCCAACAAAGAGGAGAAGACAUAACCAGAAGAAUUGUGAGAAAUAAGUUGAUUUAUCAAGUUGAGGCAUUUCGAUUUGGAUUUCAAAUAAGAAAGACAGAAAAAGACUCCUGCGCCCUCGAGAGCAUUCUCUUUCACUUGCAUUUCUUCCUGAAGUUGGCUCAAAGACCUGUCUAGCCUUGAUUUUCCCAGUUAUUACUCGAGCGCGCUGAGGCAACUCUGAACUAAGCUCAGGGGAGGGGUAGUAGGUAUGCUAAACCCUCCGGCACCUUGAAGAACGAUGGCACUAGAUCGGGAAAGACGAAUGACCAAUGAGGACAGGACAAUGGGGGAAGUUGAUAAUAGAGAAUCAUCCCUUCUUCUUUGCUUUCUUGCCUGAAAAAAUCCAAAACGAACCAUUGGAACCUCAUGGGCUACCGAGUUAGGAGAUUCAUUUUCUUUAUUACUUUUACUUUUUUUACUAAGUUAUUCUAAAAUAUAAGAGCUAACCGACCAUCCUGAUUGAAUGUUUGAGUACUCGAAGUCUCUCGUAAGUAUGGAAAGAAAGUCUCUUCUUUCCACAACUCCUAAAUUUCCCAUCAGCCUAUCCAAUCUAAUUCCAGACAGAGUGAGUAGACCUUACUUUAGUGUAGGUAGUGUCAGAUAAUUAGGAAGUCUUGAUAGUCUUUCGUAUAAUCUCUUCUUCAAUCCUAGGAGCAAAAAAGGAAUGUCCUUUAGGGACCUUUGGAUAAAAAGAUUUCCGGCCUCUUACUUUUGUAGUUAUGAAUUGCGGAAUAGAAUCAAUUAUGAAAUUCAUAAGUAUAUAUCCGUCAUCCCUAUUGGUAUCAGUUUGGGCCACUACCCAGAACCCUGAUAGAGCCCUAUUUUUAAGAAGAAAUUGAUAGUCUUUUUUAGAACUAGAACUAUGGUAAAAUCCAGUAUCGACAAGCCCAGUUAUUUCCUUUGCUUAUGCAGGGCAAGAAUUUGUCGAGUUCAAUCAGUACAAUAAGAAAUCCUAAGUAUUUUUUUGGUCAGGCGACACCUAGAUUUGAACUGGGGAUAAAGGAUUUGCAGUCCCCUGCCUUACCACUUGGCCAUGCCGCCAAAUCCGAUCCAAAAUUGAGCAAAAUCUUAUUCAUCCACAUUAUUUUACUAAUUUUUAUUCGUAGGAGGGGAUUAUUAAACCCUUUUUGAUUUUUUAGAUCGUUGAAUCCCUUUGUACUUAUCCCUUUCCAAUCCCUUUUAAUAAAUUCAUUCCUGUUUUUAUUGGACCCAGUUUUAUUCUCUUCGAUUGAUUGUAUCUCAAAACACACAUUUCUUAAAUACCUUCUCUUUCUAUUGAAAAGAGAAAGGAUUUCCAGUCACAGACUGCCAAAUUUAGGAAAAAAUGGAACCAUUAACUAUAUUAUUUGUUAUUAUUUGUUAUUUUGAUAAAUUCUAUUUGUUAGUAGUGAACGGUUCUAAAAUGGGUAUUGUAUCCCAAAUAGUGUUUCCUUAAUGUCAUAAAAAAAUCAAAUUGAUUUACGGCUAAUCAGUAUCAAUUAAAAAAAAGAGAAUUAUGAUAUUGAUAUAGUGUGACCUGACCCUUGUUGCUCCAAGUGAAAUUCUUUCUAGGGUUCUUAAAGAUAUUCUCCAUUUUUCCCUUUCCCUACAAUAAAGUAUAGUCUGAAGGCUAGCACGCACCAUUCCUCGCUUAUGAUAAUCUAAGGCCAAAAAGAAAGAAGGCUCACACCAUAAUAAUACAUACCCUUUUUCCUCGAUCGUCAAGCUCUUGCGGAAUUUGGACUUAUUAUUUUGACUUAUGGCUCUGAGAAAAACCCUUUUCUAGAUUAGGCUUUUAGAUCUACGAAUUACGGGAGAGAUCUCCGAAAGUAUAAGCGAGAUGCUCUUACAAUAGAAAGAUAGUAUAAGCUAGUUCUCACUAGCCGGGCCCUUACUCCUACUACUCACCAGCCGAGCCCUUACUCCCAUCUACUACUUCUUAUUAAAGCUGCAAGUGCAGAGGGGAAUUUCGCAAGCUAGGAGGAAUAGAAAAUCCUAACUAAGAAACAAUCAAUCAAUCCACUAAGUCUAUUAAGUAAGAGCUAUACGAAAUACUCUGAUUCAAUCUACGAGUGACUCAAUCCCAAAAGUCAAUCCAGCCAGCCGAUUUUCAACAACAAAGGAGUUCACCGUGGAAAGAUGAAGUCUAAUGACAAACACUGGUAAUUCUCUCACUGGGCCAGCCACUAGAAUCAGUCAAUGAAAAAGCAAGCAAGGAGAUGUCCUCACUGGACAUUUAUCCUAUUUGUGAAAUCCUUUCUAUGUUUUUGAGACCCGAAAACCUGUCAAGUAAGUAGGGAUUUCUUUCUCCCCAUCCAUGGUUUCUUUUACUUUUUGAUAGGCGUCCGGUGCAUGCAUAAAACCAUUCCUUCUUCUCCUCGGAACGUCAGGUCGGUCGGAAAGAACGUGCGGUGUAGCUGGCAUCAGCAUCUCUUGUUAGGUUCGCACACACAAGGGUGGUGGGUAGGUAUCUUUACGUGUCCUGCGAGGCAAGGAAUUCUUCGACCAAUGAUAUCAUGGUAUCAGAGUCGCCGAUCGAGAUUUCUCAUGGCUACCCAUUAUUUUCGCUUGAAAGAUCUUCACAUGUAGGCAGAGCCAUCCCUUUUGAAAAGUGGAUCUUUGGUCCAUUCAUUCUAAGUACUUUAUUAUUUAUUCUGUAGAAUAAGAAGGUUUCGCGGGCAUGUGCUUCAUGGUGACAAGUCGUAAAGCAUGGAUAGGUGGAAAUGCGCUAUAAAGAUUCGGCAUUGCUCGAUCAAACAAAGGGAAAAUCAUCGAGAAUCUAAUCUUGCUCUGAAUCAACUACCAAGGGUUCGCUGUCAAAGAAAUUUGAGUUGGCCAACUCCGGUGCCUCCAAGUCAGAAGUAUCUCCAUUUGCAAGCUCUCAUUGACAUAAUCCGGUGUAGGUGUAGGGAGCUGACUCUCAUGUGGAUCAAGAAAUAUCUCCCUAGUGCUCAGGACAGGCCGUGAGCAUCUUAUCUGCUUGGAUCAGGUAACAGCUUCAUUUCUUUUCAGAAGCUCAAACACAGUGUUUUCCAAUAUAGAAGUGGAGUAGUUCUUGUGCAAUCUAGGCAUAGGGCUACUAGAAUCCAUCACUAAAAGAGGAGUUUUUCGAGCUCUAUCGACACAACAGGACUCUAGAUAUUGGCAACAAAAGCGCACUUACCCCUAAACUAGAUUAGUCUUCUUCUUCCUAUGAUAAAGCAGGGGCUGAAAGGGACUCUUUAAAGUACUUCAACGUUAUCACUGUACUUUCGUGUCAAUCCAACUGAAGGAGGGAAAUUGGGAGAAUAAAGUCUUGCACGAGGGCGGCCUCUUUCCAUGCCUUCAAAUCCAUUUGCCACACUUUCAGAUCUCGGAUAUACAAUGAUGAAUCCUAACGAUCUACGAUCAUAGAACGCAGUAAUAUGAAUGUCUCUCACGAGCCCCAAAGAGUCAAUCAAGUACGCCUGCUUUGUUGGCACAGGGAAAGGUAGAACAACCUUCCGCGAUGUCAACCGCUCACUAGGCUUCUUGCUGCGGUGAAGUUGCUUCAUCACCCGGCUCAACAUCAGCCUCAUCCCCCCAUUUUAAGCUUUGGUUAUAGUAUCCUUUAGUUCCACUUCUUCAUGGAUCUCUCCCGCAAUCUUCUUUCCCCACUCCUCAUCCAUGUGAGGAGCUACCCGAGAUCAUCGAAACCCACCACACAAACCCUAACUGGCAAAACCAAUCUAUGAACACCAAGGGCGGGGAGAGGCGUCAGAUGACAAUUGAAGUAGGGGUCUGCCUCUUUCAAAGGGAAGCAAGAGUCUCAUAGGGAAGGAGAUCCUGCACAGACCAAUCCCAAUCAGGAAGAGAGUCUUGUUGUCAAUGAAAGCAAUUUUUCUAUGUCACAUAUCUGCCUAUCUCGUGUUGUGAGCUAUAAAGUACCCACCAGGGGGGGUGGACUAAGAAAGAGGCAGGUAAUUGGGUCCUUCCCAUCCUUUGUGAUGUCAGUCUCUUUGUCAUUCUUUCACCCUUGCUGAGUAGCAAAGUGAGCAUACUCAAGAUCCAAUUCAUCAAUCAUUUGAGUUGGUACGACCAUAGGAAUCUAGACUCCGCUUGAUUUGAUCUUCAGUUUCGACCUUCAUCAGUUAGGAAAAAAAGAAGGACCCACUUAUUCCACUUGGAGAGACCGAACCAGGCAACAAAAAAAAGAAAAACUGAAGGAAGUUCUCUUUCCAUUCCAACUAAACUGAGUGAAAAAAGGGGGAGAGCAAAACAGAAACACAGGAACAAAGAAACUAUGUCCAAACCAACGAGUCCUUUGGUCGACUCUAAAGAAUGUAUCGGGAGUUGGGAGUUAGCCGUCUCAUAGGAGUGAUAGCUGGGUUUUUCAAGGAGUUUCUUCGUACGAUUGAAAAAAAGAGUGCUCUAGGUCAGAGAAAACAAGAAGAAGAUUGUUCACCAGUCUGUCUCCCAACUUCUUUAAAGCAGAUACCUACCGUGAUCUGGUCUUGGGACAGCAUUGGCACCCCCGUUUACUGGAUCUUCUAGGCACUCUAAAGCGCUUCCACGAGAGACAGAUGGACUUUGAGUUAUAGACGGAGAAGAGCCUUUAGAGGAUCAAGAGUGAUUCCUCAAUAAAACAAAUGGGAUUUUGAGGGAGGGCUGAACACGAUGUACUAAAGGGUUCGUUUUCACUGAUCGGCGCCAGUCUUUCCUGCUGUGAAUUUCCCAGGUCGGGAGGGGCCCUUUCCUUCUACCUUACUGAACGCAUUCACCAAAGCUAAAGACCAAUUCCUUCCUUUUAGGUGGUCUAGGUGGCUGGGAGACUAUGCCCUUCUUUUUAGAGGCUCAAAGACGAGUUCUUUGAAGGAAGCAAAAGAACCCAUGUGUCUCGGAUGAAGUCUACCCUCUUUUUGUGCUGGGAAGAAGAAUGAGAUCCAACUCAAAGUCAAGGAAAGCGGCCUAGACCACUGACUUUUGAUGGAAGGCUUCUGAAUAUGGAUUGGUUUGAUAAAUCCAAUUUUUCGGCGAAUCAAAUAUUUUCUGAGAGCACUAGACCUUCUCUCUUUCAGGAUUGAUUCCCAGUCACUGCCUGAUAGCAGGCUUGGCCCAUGAGACCUAUUGUCUUAUUGUACUGGCUCACUUCAGUACUUUGGAGGAUGGGUUUUCCCCCUUUUUGGUUCGCAAACGCUCUAACCCAUCGAGAAGCUCCAUCCAAAUUGGAGUUGAUGUGAGCACUUCCCCAGAGGCAGAGGCUUUUUCUACAAAAGGGUGGGAGCAUAAAAUUCAGGUGAGUCAAUUGCGUGUGGCCUUCAAGUAUUUCAUAUUGUAACAAUAUUAGAUCGGCAUCCAAACAAAGGUGCAUGUACGGUUCCUAAGGGAUACAAUUUUGUCCUAAUCAUCGAGAAAGAUGAAAUAAGUUGAUAGCACGAUCUCGUACUAACACAUACUCUCUAAAUAUUUCAUAACUUGCAUGCGGCCUUCAAGCCACAACCAUGGUAUGAGUUCUGAUCUCAGACUUUGGUUUGCGGGCUGCUGGCCCCUUCGCGUCGACAAGGAAACUGUGGACGACAAUGGGUUUAGAAUUCGAAUAAAACGAAGACCCUAUCGAACAAAUAGAGGAAAGGGCGGAAAGGGGAAAAAGUAAAGUCUAAGCGACAUAUGGCACGAAAAGGAAAUCCAAUUUCGGUAAGACUUGAUCUGAAUCGUAGUUCAGAUCCAAGUCGGUUCAGUGAGGGCGACCGCGAAAGUCACCGAAUGGGUUCGGUCCAUCUUUUCCCGAUCUUUGUUUGUCCCCCAAAAAAAGGCGUGAGAGGACGUUGCAGAUGUCCGGGACGGACACGACUUCUUCUAACGCUAGAAGACCACAAGAAGAGACCCGGGACCAGAGCAUGUCGUGAAAGAGGCACACGGGGCGGGCGUGCUUUGACCGUGUCUCCGGGGCCCAGUUGAAUGUAGAUAUCUUGAACGCGAGGAUAAGGAUACCAGGCCGAGAAACCCGGGCAAGUACUCCCCUAAUGUGUCGAUCGCUAGCGCAUCCAGGGCCCUGGCGCCCAGCUCUGCUGGAAAGGCCAUCACUGAUCUGAAAAGUGCGUCUGCGGUUCGGAUAGACUAAUUCUGCGAACGCCUAGCCCCAGGAAUCAAUAAAAAAACAAGUGCUAGCUUUCAUUUUAGAUCAGUGAAUAAACCAAAAAAGAGACCUUUCUCGCUCGACGCCACACUAUGCUCUGCUUCAACAAAUGAGAGUUUUUGGUGGAACCGGUGAACCACGCGAGCUGGUUAGAUGCGUGGGGCAGAGGGCUCGUAGUACCUGAUAGCGCAGGUAUGCAGUGGAAGGGAAGGAGCCUAAAUGGACCCCCUUCUUUCUUUUUAUUCAAAGACACAAAAGCAAGCACAAAAGAGAUUGGACUCUCGGAUGAGACUAAGAAGCUACCAUUCCGAUGCGCCCCUGACCCUAUCUUGAUUCAAACCGAAACCCUCUCUAAGGUGGAGCCUAGUUGAAGCGGUCAUUCAAAGAAUAAAUGGGAAUCCAAAUCCACUUUUAGGAUAUAGAUGAAAUCUCUCUCAGUAAAGAGAGUUGUAGAUUCGUAGAAGAGGAUCAGAGUACGCGCGCUACAAAAGGCAGCUAGCCAAUGAAAGUAAGUGGAAAGAAUAUAGUACUUCUGUACUGACCCCUCCGGGGCCCCCGGUUGUUUUGGCGCGCCCUACCCCAACGUUAGACUAUUGCCUUUUUAGCCUACGCUUGUUGCUUGUAGCAUGGAUUCGAUAGAUCUAUCGAAUCCAUGCUGCCCCCACCCCGAAGCGAGACUCUAUCCAGAUCUCAAGGAAUAACGAGCUAGGCAGCCGGUGGGCAAAGAAAGGGGGCGGGGCGUUUACUUGAAAACGACUACUGCCUGCUGCAGCAGCGGGGGCCUUGUACGAAAGCAAACCUAUGAUUAAGUAGCAGUUGCUUUCGCUAAUGGGCCCAAUGAGGGGGCAUUGUCCCUCAGUUCUUACCAACCUCAGGUGUGUACAUCUAACUUAUUAUCUUCUUUUUUCAUGCAAGCCUGACCUCACCUGUCCAUUUCUUAUUCAUUCAGGGCGCCCCAGUGGACUUGGCGGUGCUCCUUUCUCAAACCAGAACAACUCUGAACGUUAGGGAAAAUAAGGGAAGACCACCUGAGCGAACCGACAGAAGGGACUUUACUUAUCCGAACCGGACGUUAGCAGCUUUAGCUAAGCCUAUCACGAGCUGCGUUGCUGCUUCAUCAGCGGGAGGAAGAACUCAAAGUAUGGGGCAAAGGAUCAAGCGCUUUGACUUUGCUUUGUCCCCCGGGAUCCACCACAGGUUGGGUUUGAGAGCCGUGUGAUGGGUGACUAUCUAGCACGAUUCAGAGAGCAUGUGUAUGUAGUAUGCGCUGGUGAAUGGAAACCCCCGCCGCCAAAAAGAAGCGGCUCUUCCCACGGCUCUAUCACCAUUGACUCUAUUUAUUAUUAUGGUAAAUCAUUGUAUCAAGAUGUCAAUAUUAGAUCUUAUUUUAGUUCGAUACGUCCACCUACGAAACUCGCCCUUGGCUUUCGUCUCGGUAGGUGUAUUAUUCUACAUUUUCCCAAAAGGACAUUCAUUCAUUUUUUCUUCCCGGGCGAUCACCACGACUAAAACGAAAACAAGACAAGAAAUCAAGACCCGUACUACAGGAAAAGGGCUGGUGGCCGACAUUUGGGAAAGUCAGGCCGAUCGGGUGUCUUCAUUCAAGCGAGGGUACAGAGGAAGAACGAAACAAUGUGAGAGGCCAGGGGGCAGGGAAAAGAGUCGAGUCGAUCGACCGGGAGAAGCAAAACGAAAUCCGGAUUUGGCCGAAAAAGAUGCAUCAUUAUGGAUACCAUGACCGAUCACCAUCGAGAAAGAAGAAUUUUGAUAAAUCACUUCGGGUGAGCGGGGCCUUCAAGCGGCCUCAAUACGCCGGGGUUGUAAAUGACAUACCUUUCCUUAUGGGAAAUGCCGCUUCCUUACUAAAAAGGAAUAGAAUCAAGUUAUUUUUACCAAAGAAGUCCCGCUCUGACGGCCCGACGAGUCAUCUACUAAAAAGGACCCUCCCCACUGUUCGUCCCUCCUAGAAUUAUUCGGUCAUGCAAUAUUUUUUAAUACUAAGAAUAAAAUGCAUUUCGACCCCAUCCUAGUUCUCAAACAUUUCGUGGCGCCGGGUGUGGCUGAACCAUCUACGAUGGGGGAGCGAAGGGAGGAAGCUUAGAUAAGAGAAUACACUCUCGCAUCGCUUUUUUAGAAAGCUCUACCAGCGAGAAAAAGUGUUUGGCCCGAGCCAAAAAGAGGUUGAUCCACUUCAUUCACCAAGCGAAUGAUCUUCGCUUCGCGGGAACAACAAAAACCACCAUAUCGCUCUUUCCUUUCUUUGGUGCUACCUUCUUUUUUCCAAGGGAUGGGGUUGGGGUGUAUAAUAACCCUUUUUUUGAGUAUGCCCGGAAACAACUCCUAGCUCAAUUUAGGAUCAAAUGUAGGAACCUCAUGGGUAAGGAUAAGGUAAUGGAAUUGAUAGAGAAAUUCAUAGACCUAGGUAGGAUGGAAAAUUGAUAAAGGGAAUAGAGAUGAUGAUAGAGAUCAUACUGAGAAAGAGGAUAAUUCCGUACGGGUACAACUCUUAUUUGAACGAAGUGCAAAAAAUGCGAUCUUUUUUGUCUAAUAGAACAAACACUAAUACCUCAAUUGAGUCGGUAAAGAUCAAAUCUGUUUAUCAAAGUGCUUCUCUGAUUGCUCAAGACAUCUCUUUUCAACUGAGGAACAAUCCAAUCUCAUUUCGUUCCAUUUUUAGUAAAAUAGUGAAGGAUAUUCCAUUAAUAAUGCCAAAAGGGGUGGAGGGGAUACGUAUUUGUUGUUCUGGUCGAUUAGGGGGUGCGGAAAUAGCUAGAACUGAAUGCGGAAAGUAUGGAAAAACAUCUUGUAAUGUAUUUAACCAGAAAAUCGAUUAUGCUCAUGCGGAAGUAUCUACUCGUAACGGAAUUUCAGGUGUCAAAGUGCGGAUCUCAUAUAGUCAAAAUAAGAAGGGACGUGCUAUGUCCGAAACGUACGAAAUAUAGUAAAUAUUUUAAAUGCAGAUGUAGUAGGGGUCAUGAACCGGAUGGUACACAACUUGGUUUUGGAGAUAUGGCACCAAAAGUUGUAGAGUUGGUCGUCUUUCAUAUCAAGUCAUUGAAGCAGCGCGUCGGGCUACAUUCGAACAAUUCCAUCAUGCUAUGAACGGACAAUUCUGAAGAAAUUGUAAGAUAUGGGUAAGAGUUAUCGCAGAUCUUCCUAUUACAGGGAAACCCGCAGAAUUUUGAAUGGGAAGAGGAAAAGGAAAUCCGACGGGUUGGAUUGCUCGUGUGUCCACGGGACAAAUCCCAUUUGAAAUGGAUGGUGUGAGUUUGUCAAAUGCUCGACAAGCCGCUAGAUUAGCGGCGCAUAAACCAUGUUCGUCAACCAAGUUUGUUUAGUGGUCGUAAGGUAAUUGGUUAGUGGGGAAAAACCAGGCCGGGACUCAAAAGAAUUUGGCGAAGUGUUUGUUCCUAAACGAGGAAAGUGGAAAGACAAAGAGGGAUAGGGAGCUCGCCUCCUUCUUUUUUGUAAUUGCCUAAAUUGUACGACGACCCUUCUUGUUCCAGGCAUACGACCCUGAGACGUGAUGGUGUCACUUUUCCGGCCCGAUAAAGUGACAGUUAUAUAAAUAAGAAUAAGAAAGAGAAGCGUGAUGUUGUCGUGUUGUCAGCAAUCAAAUUAUCGUAAAUAGAUAGUACGGUUGCGUUGUUUCAAUUUCUGUUCGUACUCCGAUUGCUGUGGCUGCAGCUCGAUCUUGGCAAAUCUCUCAAAUGGAUGUCAAAAAUGCUUUCCUUCAUGGUGAUCUACAUGAGUUUUUUCCAUAUGCAGCCACCUCUGGGCAUUGAAGUUCCUGAUGGUCAUGUUUGUCGCCUUCGAAAGGCCCUCUAUGGGAAAAAAGCAACCACCUCGUGCUUGGUUUGAGCGGUUCAGCUCUGUGGUUCAAGCUGCUGGUUUCUCUUCUAGUGAGCAUGACCCUGCACUUUUCACUCAUACAUCGGACCGCGGUCGUACCUUGCUUCUUCUCUAUGUUGAUGAUAUGUUGAUCACUGGAGAUGAUCAGAAGUACAUUGCUUUUGUUAAUAAAAAGUUGAGUGAGCAAUUCAAGAUGUCAGAUUGAUUUUCUCUCCGUUAUUUUCUGGGAAUUGAGGUUGAUCAAACUAAUGAUGGUUACUAUCUUAUCUCUCUCAGCAUCGCUCUACUCAGGAUUUGAUCUCACGCUCAGGUCUUACUGAUACACACACUGCCGCUACACCCAUGGAGCUCCAUCUCCAAUUGCACCCUAGUGAUGGUACUCCUCUUGAGGGAUACCACUCGCUAUCGUCAUCUUGUAGGCAGCCUUGUGUACCUCACUGUGACCCGGCCUGAUAUUGCUCAUGCAGUCCACAUUGUCAGUCAGUUUGUCAGUGGUUACUUGAGGGAGAUGCAAAUACUUCAUUCUUCCAUAGUGUUGCCAAUGGAAGACACAUAAAAUGUAAUAUUGCUUCUUUGGAACAUGAAGGAAAUGUUAUACAAGAUGAGAAAGAGUUGCAAGAACACAUUUCUAGUUACUAUAAGAGACUAUUUGGUUCAGAGGAUAGGGGGACAUAUCUCUUGGUGGAAGCCCCUUGGUCAACAGAGCACAUGCGAUCAGAACUAGACAAUGAAUAGUUGACUAAGCCUUUCACUUUGGAGGAAAUAGAGUUAGUAGUUAAAGAUAUGAAAACCAAUACAGCUCCUGGCCCAGAUGGCUUACCAGUAAUCUUUUAGAAACAUUUUUGGGAGAUGGUUAAAGAAAUGGUCAAAAGAAUGCUUGAUAGCCCGCAUGCUGAGGUGUUGCAACUUAGAAGACUUAAUUAUGGGGUGGUUACUCUGAUUCCUAAAACGAAAGAUGCUGCAACUAUCAAGCAAUAUCGGCCAAUUUGUUUAUAUUAUGUUUGUUAGAAAAUUGUGACUAAAGUACUGACAAAUAGGCUUGAGAGAGUUGUAGAUAAGGUGGUGAGUAAGAGUCAGACAACAUUUAUGAAAAACGGAAAUAUUUUAGAUGGGGUGGUCACUAUCCAUGAGGUGUUUCAUGAGCUUAGGAGGACUAAACAAGAGGGCGUCAUACUAAAGCUAGACUUUGAAAAGCAUAUGACAGGGUGAAUUGGGAUUUUCUACAAGAGGUUUUGCUUAAAAAGGGUUUUCUUUAGUGAGAAGUGGAGAGGUUGGAUUAAACAAGUGGUAGAAGGAGGUGCAGUGAGUACCAAUAUUAAUGGAGAGGUUGGCCCAUAUUUUAAGAGCUACAAAGGAUUUUUGCAGGGUGAUCUCACCACUUCUUUUGAAUUUGGUGGUGGUCACAGAAAAGGGGGUCACUCAAGUGUACGGCAUUCUUUGUCCGUCCAGAUCGCGGUACAUGUUCCGACUGAUCUGGAUUGUAGAGGAACAAAUUUCAGGCUACUUUAGAUGGGGUGGGCUGCACCCAUUCUCGGUAAGUACAAGGUGGGCACCCAUUCUCGGUUAAGAUGGGAAAUCCUAUAGGGGUACAAAUGCUACAUGAAUAAAAUCCGCUCUUGCUGUAUUAGGAAUUGAAAGUAAGUCAACUCCUUCCUAUUAGAGCAACUUGUCGCAGCUAUGACUACUCUUUCUAUUUGAAUUGAAUGUCAGCGAAUCACUUGUUUCGCUAAUGUGACUAGUCUUGACUGCAGGUUUUUUUCUUUCUAUAGAGAAGUGACUGCGCUAGAGAUGCUUAUUAAAGGAUUGCUUGGUGGCUUACUUGCUUGACAGGCUUUCCUUGUUGAUUGGCUUGGUCUGCUAGUACCCAGAAAUCACUUCCUCUAAGUCUUAAAUAGCAGAACCUACUCUUUCUUCAAAGAAUGUAGCAUACCUAAGAAAUGAUUUUUCUAACGAGUCAAAUCUGUUGUGAAAUAAGGAAAUGUGCGGAUCGAUUCUUCUACCCUUCUCUUAUUCGCAUUUCCUUCUUAGUAUUGAAAGAAAAGCUAUUACUGCUGCAUAUCCCCUUUUUCCUCUAAUUCGAGCGAGUAAAGGCGCAGCUUCCUCAUCUUUGCUUUAUAGUUUUAUAUAAUAUAGAAUUGGAUUUUUCUUUCCUUUAAGGAGCUCUAGCUAUCUUGUUGAUCCACCAGUUCAUACUAUUAAUGAAAGCUCUUUCACCCUGCCCGCGGGUAAUCCCUUACUGAGCCUACUCAAGCAAUCUCCCAUUAGCCGGUCUUUACUUUAUGGUCAAGCGAUUGUAAACUCCUUAUUUAGGCUAGCGACUUUGCUGAUUAACAAGAUUAUCGCAUUGGAGCUGUGACAGUUAUGUAAACUACUUCUCUAGCAAGUAAUGAAUCUGAGGUUAAAGCCAAUGAGUACGCCGGAUGUUGGAUUUUCGCAGUGAGGGAAGGUUGGCUUGACAGGCUUCGUUCUGGAUGUUGUAAUCUCUUCUCAUGGUCUUUGUUCGCUUUAUUAUCCCGUUGUGAGAAUGGCUAGGACUGUGGAUCCACACGCCCCCCCCUCUAGUCAGUACUUUCCGAGUAGUGCAAGGCUUCUUCGUUGGCAAAUAAACGAAUUAAUGAACGAAUUUCCUAAUAUGACGUGAACUUGAACUAGCAUUAAUCAAGUCCAUGAGCUCAUAAGAAGGAGUUCUUCACGUGAGAAAGUCCACGGCGUAGCUUAAUUUAUUAAAAAAGAAAGUAUCCAAUCGAAUUUAGGAGCGCCAUAUGUUUCUAUCUGAAACGGUAAAGCGAGGCUCGCUAUAAGGGUCAUAGCUAGUUCAGGAUUGGUAGGAAAGUAAUACAAAUGAUUGUAAUUUGACAACCCCCAGGGGAGCUAGCCUUUGUGUUAAGAUUAAAAAGAAGAGCCCUCUUUUCAUACGACUCGGUGAUUCCAUUGCUCUAUCCGGCCGCAAGAUUCGAUCGCGUACAGCACGAGCACAAGAUGGGUUGGGGACUUAGAAAUGAGCUAUGCUCCAAGAAUUUACCCCUGAACUACCUUUGCCCGCCUUUUCUUGUAGAAUCCAUUCCCCCUCUUUUAUAUAUUUAGAAUGCUUUUAGGGCUAGUGGAAUGAGGCUGGAACCCAUCAAUAUCGCUAAACCGGGAAAGUUGCUUGUGUUGGGUUCAAAGUUUCGCUCUACCAAGGAAAGAUAUAAUAUGCAUCCAGCUUUAGCUGAAUAUCGUGAGUGUCCAGUGAAGUCUGCUAGCCAUUGGCCUUACGUUCAGGAUACUCCUUUCUGUCUUUGUGAUGUUUGGUUAUAAGAGAAUGUUGCUCUUCAAAAAACAUGUAUAGUGGCCUUCGUCGAUGGGACAAACGCUCCAGUGUAUGCGUUACAAGGCAACUAGCAUUUUGUCAUGGAAGUUCGUGAAAGAAUGUUCUUGUUUUUCGUUGGAAAAACCGACGCCGAUGUCAAGAUCAGUCUCCUUUCCUUUCAAAAGUGAGCGAGCAGAGCUGAAAAAGAUGGACUUACCUGGAGAUGAGAUUUCUUUCUGCGGAUAUGAAGGAUAGAAAUAUGCUAUUUGCUGCUAUUACAACGAAUCAACCAAUUCGUAGUAAGUGUUCCCGUCUUCCCGAUCUACAUGAUUUUUUCCCAACCAACAUCUCUCAGAACGUUGCUAUAACGCCAAACUUGGAUAUAACGCCAACGCCUGAGCGAAUUACCGGCGUCACAAUAGUUUUACAAAUAGAAGGGUAUUUGGACCAAAAUGAGUCCGAACAGGGAGCAGUCAAUUUAGCUAGAACAGUAUUGGGAGCCCGCCAUCGAAAUGGCGAAACUUGGCAGGGCAUACCCUAAUACCCUAAUAUUCGGGCGGGUGGUGGUAUGGAUAAUUUAAUCCAGAAUCUGCCUGGUGCCUACCCUAAUACCCCAUUGGAUCAACUUGCCAUUAUCCCAAUAAUUGAUCUUCAUGUGGGCAACUUUUAUUUAUCAUUUACAAAUGAAGUCUUGUAUAUGCUGCUCACUGUCCUUUUGGUUGUUUUUCUUUUUUUUGUUAUUAUGAAAAAGGGAGGUGGAAAGUCAGUGCCAAAUGCAUGGCAAUCCUUGGUCGAGCUUAUUUAUGAUUUCGUCCUGAACCUGGUAAACGAACAAAUAGGUGGUCUUUCCAGAAAUGUGAAACAAAAGUUUUUCCCUCGCAUCUCGGUCACUUUUACUUUUUCGUUAUUUCGUAAUCCCCAGGGUAUGAUACCCUUUAGCUUCACAGUGACAAGUCAUUUUCUCAUUACUUUGGCUCUUUCAUUUUCCAUUUUUAUAGGCAUUCCGAUCGUUGGAUUUCAAAGACAUGGGCUUCAUUUUUUAGCUUCUUAUUACCUGUGGGAGUCCCACUGCCGUUAGCACCUUUCUUAGUACUCCUUGAGCUAAUCUCUUAUUGUUUUCGUGCAUUAAGCUUAGGAAUACGUUUAUUUGCUAAUAUGAUGGCCGGUCAUAGUUUAGUAAAGAUUUUAAGUGGGUUUGCUUGGACUAUGCUAUUUCUGGAUAAUAUUUUCUAUUUCAUAGGAGAUCUUGGUCCCUUAUUUAUAGUUCUAGCAUUAACCGGUCUGGAAUUAGGUGUAGCGAUAUCACAAGCUCAUGUUUCUACGAUCUCAAUUUGUAUUUACUUGAAUGAUGCUACAAAUCUCCAUCAAAAUGAGUCAUUUCAUAAUUGAAUAAAAACGAGGAGCCGAAGAUUCUAGCGGGCUACAGCUGCGCUUUUGCAGCACUGAACAUUGUUCUGGGUACUCAAGAUAUUGCGUUUGUGUUUGGAGAGGUGUAGAUUGUAGAUUCCAGCCGAGAAGACCAGGAAAAGAUAAGGAUAAAGAAUGUCAUAUAUCUCAGGAGCUAGAUCACUUCCCGAUGAACAAGUAAGAAUUGCCUCAACAAAAAUGGAUGGAAUUGGACCGAAAAAAGCCAUUCAGCUUCGUUAUCGAUUAGGUAUCAGUGGGAACAUGAAUAUGAAUGAGUUAACUAAGUAUCAGAUCGACCAAAUUGAACAAAUGAUAGCUCAAGAUCAUGUUGUUCAUUGGGAAUUGAAGAGGGGAGAACGAGCAGACAUUGAACGAUUAAUUUAUAUUUCUCAUUAUCGUGGAAUUCGUCAUCAAGAUGGAUCGCCCUUAUGCGGUCAACGAACUCAUACUAAUGCAAGGACUGCUCGCAAGCAAAUUCGGAAAUGAAAGAAGGCUACCGAAAGAACAAGCAACGGAUUUCACGCUCAUCCCUUGCUAAAGCGCAUACGUUUUUUUGCUCCUUGGUACUUGUCUGAUCAAUCACGCUAUUCAUUAGUUCACUUGAUUUUUCGUUCGAUGUCUUGAACCGCUUACUAAUCACGUAUACAUGUAGUAGGCCCCCUUCACCACUCCAUGUCUGGCCUGUCUUGGUCUCGCUCACUUUGCCCGCCUAUCGUAUCAGCUCGGCUUCGUCCGUCAAGCGACAGCUUCUGCCUCUGACGGCUUCACUAUCGCUCAUGACUGGUAGUAGUUGUCUCUAUGUAGUAGUCGGCCUUUGUUUAGCUUCACCAGAAGCGACUAGUCGCUUCCCGAAUGCCUCUUUCUUGUACUAAUUAAUGUGUAUGGUCUAUUCUUUCCAAUGCCUCCUUCCUUGCCGCCAGCGCACGCGAGAUGGAGAGUAAGCAAGCUACCUUGCUUGCAUUGCAUUCGUUAAACGGUAGCUUCCGCGCCCUUCCUGCCUGCUUCAAUUGAUGUGAAUGAUCGUGUCUUCGACAUCAAUUUCAGUCUGAUUAGAUAUGUCAUUGAAACAAAUCUGUUUUGUCUCUGUUUUCUUUUCGGAUGAUGAGGAUGAUCCAGCCGAUCCUAACAUAAUUUUGGAGGAGCCGGACGACGAAGCCUCAAAAUCAGAUAAAGAUGUCUCCGACGCGACCGGACUUCCACUAGAUUUUUAUAGGGGUCAGGAGGGAAAAGAUAUGUUGUUUUCUAUCAGUCCCAAGCGGAUACUCCCCAGCUUCCACGGUCCGCUUACCGAGGAAGAGAUGCGGGAGGACCCAGGGCCAGAGCAAGUUGGGUUGGGGUAUAGAGCCGUAAGCGCUCGUACGGUUCAUAGUUGGGUAUGAUAUUCUCGUGGAUUGUUGGGAACGUCCUCUAUAUUCGAAAUAUGCCUUUCUAGGAGCAUUACGAUCUGCAGCUCAAAUGGUCCCUUAUGAAGUCUCUAUUGGUCUUAUUCUUAUUGUGCGCCUUGUGAGCACGUUUGGAUCCGCGAAUGCAAUCGCUCGGAUCUUCCCCUGACCCAACCCGGGAACGGACCGGAGGGAACCACAACAUGAGGAAUGUCCGUGUCUCGUCGCAAGGCUCAUUUUGAGUUCUGGGUCAUAGGACGGGCAGUGUAGUCCGGGGAACAAGGGUCCUGGUACUACCCAGGUGCGAAGAACCCCGGAGGCGACUGCAAUGAGCAAAAAUGUCACUCACCGGCCUAAACAACGAGCAAACACUCGAACGUGAGAGCAAGGGAGCACCCAACUAAUGGAUGAGCUCCAAGGAGGGAGGAGAGAGGGAGGCAAGAACCAUGUUCUCAGAGAAGUUGCGGUACGAAUCCACUCUGACAAAAUAAAAUAACAAACUAAGCCGUGCCAUAAGGGGGGCAUUCUCCACACUGGACGGGGCCAAGGCCUUCAUGUAUGGGUGACAGAUCGUCCAUAGGAGUACUCCGGGAUAUACACCAGGGCAACUAAUGUCGAGCAUACGAUGAUGCCGCCCGUUUUCAUUUCGUGAAAGUCCCCGACAGAGGAAAGGGCUGUAGGUGAUGGCGCGUUUUGCUUCUUAGGGCGAUGAAAUCGUUCCUAUGGGAUCGUGCGUGGCAGCUAGUAUAGAUGAUGAUGAAAGUCGGGCCGCUUGAACCGGGACCUAUUCUCAUAAUAGGCACCAAGCAAAGCUAAAUAGGAAAGGGGGCGACUGAUGACUACCUUUUUCGUCAGAAAUCAAAAAGGGUGGAAUGUGGAGCUAAUAUGGCUGGCUACAAGUAUAGCCAAAGAAAGAUGAGACGAGACGGACUGUCAGAGGACGCAGCGGGACUACCAGGGGAAAGCCCGCCCCCGCUAGCUAACAUAGAUAUCUAUUCUCAGUGCGCAUAUUCAAGAUUUAGAAUCUCUUUCCGACCAGGCCAGGCCGAAUUGGGCCACCACUUGGGAUGGGAAUGGCUCAGCCCACAUGCAUCAUUUGAUGAAAGCACUCCAGUCCAGUUGCCUCCGAUCAGUGGCUUGUCAACCACCGGACCGUAGCUCCUCACCAAAUGCCCCUGCGUUGGGGCAACACAGCACAUGACUAGUUCCCUCAAGGACCACACCCUAUCGAGAGUAGGAUGCCGGCCGAGAUGGAGCGCCAACCUAGACUUUCCUUGGGCUUGCCUUGCCCCAACAUCUAAAUAAAGGGCGGGCGCCAAAAAGGAAGCAGUGAUGCCUUUUCGACGAAAGCUUAGCUUGGUAGGCGCAGCUUACUCACCCUACUCCCUUAUACAAUGCAAUUCUCUGAACACGAAAGUUUGCAGUUCAGCCCUCUUCUCCCAUGCAGAGUCGCAGGCAGCACCUCGGAUAAAAGCACGGACGAGCCACAUGCAGGGAAACUUGCACGUGUGGUUCUGGGCGGGGACCCUGGUAUACUGUACUAAUAUGUGUAGGUCCCUGUAAUUCGAGUGAGAUUGCCAUGGCGCAAAAGCAUAUAUGGUCUGGUAUUCCCUUGUUCCCUGUAUUGGUUAUGUUCCUUAUUCCUCGUCUAGAAAAAACUAAUCGAGCUCCGUCUGAUCUCCCAGAAGAGGAAGCUGAAUUAGUUGCAGGCUAUAAUGUAGAAUAUGUGCAGGAUGCGAUCCUUAAUAGUUCACUAUUGGCGGAAGCCAAUGUCUGGGGGACUCAUUCUGACUUAAACAAGGGGUGGGUCUUUACCAACUUCCAUAUCCAAGAUUUAGGGACAAAAAAGAGGGGCAGGGCACUCUUCAUUCUUCAUUCGAAACUCAUGAAUGUGGGGUCGGAGGUUUUUGCCUUGUUAUCAAAAAGGGGAGUUGGGUAAAGCAAACUCCCUCAUUGGAAGAGCACGGGGCUUAGUCAAGUAGAACCGGGUUGUGCUGCUUGAUGCUCCGAUCGAAAACAAAUCAGUGGGGCCAUGCCGGUACAAUAGAAUAUGCGUUAGAAAGGUCAAUCCCUCCCCCCCCCUUUUGAUUUUAUUAAUGAAAAACCGGGCCGAACUUCUAAAAAGCAGCCCACCCGCUUCCAUAGAACAAUAUCGCGACAACGUAGACCUAAGUGGAUUUAUUGGAUCCUGGGGAACCAUCACAAGUACGGCCGGCCCAUAGAACGAGAAUGUCGUGUCAUCCAGCAGAGCUUAGAAGAAGGUGACUCGGAGCCUAAGGAAGGUGACUCGCGCAGACAGCUGACUCCUUUUAAAUAGAAAGGAAUAGCCAAACCUACUCAGCUGGCUGGUCAAUCUCAGUGAUCUUAUUGGCCGGCAAAGCGAAGACGGACGACCACAGUCCCGACCUUACCAGCACCGUAGGUUUACUAAUCAAUGAAGCCCCUCAACCUACUAUAUUUUCUUACAAACUCAACCAAUCCUAACCAAACCCCAUGCUCACGACAUGUUCUUGAUAUUGAUUGAGUUGGAGGGAGUCAGAGACUACCACGGAAUCCUUCCAUAGUGACGCCGGUGACCUUCGUCACCAAAGCGUCACGACAGUUUCCAAGACCCCUCAUAUAAUCUCCGGCGGGGAUCAGUCGGAGCACGUAGGAAUGCCAACCACUACAUAAGCCACGUCUGGUUGAGGCGAGCAGCAAGCUGGGGAGAGUAUUUUGAAGUACCAGAACGUUGGGGUGGGACACUAUUACUUAAACUAGGGUUGCUUCUUAGCGCUAAUCUUGCGUUUUUCAGCAGUUAGUUGUAGCGCGCCUUCCCUCCUUCUCUCAUUUCGGAAAGAUUUGGGAGUAUUUUCUUAUGCUGACCUGGUCGAGAGAGUACGAAACAUCGGUGUAAAAGAUUGAGUGGGAUGGUUAUAGUAAGGGGCGAACCAAGUGCUUGCGCGAAGAAGCGAAUCAAUCAGAAUGGAUACAAGGAAAGGAAUCGAGGCCCGGCCUGGUAGCGAUGCCUCUCACGCGGAUGGGAGUUACUUUUCUUUAUCACCGUAAGCGUUACGAGAUGGACCCGCAUUACCCUUUGCUUUUCUUUUGCAACUAAGCUUAAAAGAAACAUAGUAGUCUUUCAAGCCAUUAGGAAACUCAUUAAGUGCUCUGUUGAGUGAAUGCCAGUUGAGAAGCUUAGGUCAUACAUUUCCAGCUAAUUAGAAUACAACCAUGAAGGUGGGGUUCGAAUGCCAUACAACUAUUUAUUCUGGUAAGUAGGAUUGGAAUGUAGUCCCUUUUUAUUGGAUUCGCCGCUCUGUUAAGUGAAAUUCAAAGUAGGUGUGGGUCUAGGUAGAGGAAGUCAUAAUCAAGUAUCAAGUAUUGUUAUAAAUAUCUUAUAUAGUAGUUGCCAAACUCACAAGCAUCACACACUUCGAUCUACUUUAUUGAAUAACUUAGCUAGAUAGAACCGACUCAAGCUUUUAAAUGAAAGAAGCAAUAAUGGCAUAAUUUCUGUCUCAAGACCUCUUGUAGCUACAGGCAAUGCAGCACCUCCUUGAUCAACAUACAACACAUCCCAUUAUGCCUUGCUCCAGUCGCAGUAUAAAGAGAGACUAGAACCUACCGGGGAGCCCUCGGCAGAGUCCCUAUCGUUGUUGCAACAAUUACACACAGAGUUCCGGAAUUUCACAUUUGUGAGAAGAAAGGGUAUGUGUGUUUGAAAGGAGUGGUGCAAGAACGUAUUCUAAGCCUCAGUCAACACAACUUGUUUCGCCUUUUCCGAACAGCAUUCUUAUCAGGACCCUCCUUUAUAUAAACCACUCAUAGAUAUAUACCUGCCUGUGGCCUCAGAUGAAUACAUCGAUAGAUAAGAAGGGAAAUGCAUCAUCUAGAAUGGCUUACUAAGGUUUAGGGACGUUUGUGUGAUGGAUCGUACGCUUACUCAUGACGACUUGGCUAUUCAAUAAAGGACGGAGUCAACGUGAGCCUUAGGGUCCAAAAAUAUUCCAUUGGUGUCAGCUAUUAGCGAUUAUUUAAAGUCGUAAUGGUAUAAAUUAUUGGUCAAUUCCACUGAUUCUUCUUUCCCGUUCCUUCUCUGGUUGUCGGUGUACUAGAGUAGGGGUACCCUAGUAUCCCGAACUUGUGCACGGGCAGUUGCAGCACCCCGCGGCAAGGCUUGCCGGGUGACCGGCAAGGUCCUCCAUGGUUCCUUUGGAGCCAUUCAAGAACAAAGUAUUCAAGCCAAGGAGACAAGGCCCCGGCAAGAGGAGCUUGCCGGGAGGGCCAACCAAGGCACCUCAAGGAACUUGCCGCGACGCGCCACGCGUCCCAGCGAGGCCCGGUGAGCGACAAGCUUUCGGACGCGACAAGACAACGACCGCGGCAAGGCGCUUGCCGCGGCAGGCUACCACUCUGUACCUGCGCUCCAGCACAUCCACCAACGUGUCGCCCUGAGGCCUUUCCAGGUGCGCGUGGCAGGAGGCUGUGCAGCCAGUGGUGCACGGUGGCAAGCAACGCUGACAAGAUUGCCAUCGUGGCAAGCGGUGGCGUCCCUGACGGUCCCUUUUUGCACUAUUUGGGCGAUGUAGACGGGCAUUUAAUGCCUUUGUCCCCUGCCGUCAGGGUUAGGUAUGAUACACUGUACAGGUUGUUGUACCAACCGCAACUCCUUUUCCAUUUUUACCCUUGUCUUCGUUGCCACCUGUCGGUGACCCCUUGAGCAUAUAAAAGGAGGCCCAUGCGCAACGUAGAGAAGGGUUAGAAGGCAGAAAACACUCACGCUCGGUCUUGUUAGCAGCUAGAGUGUACUGUAGCACUUAGCGCUCCCGAGCAAGAACUCAAUACACUCAGACAUGCAGCAGUAGGAGUGUUAUCUCUCCGGAGAGCUCGAAGCUGGGUAAACCGCUCGUGUGCUUCGCCUCGAUCCGCUCUUCGUGCGACCUCCGCCCCCCGCCGAACCGAAAGGGGCUCGGUCCGCCGGUCCCAUAGGUGUUCGUGGAUCAGCCUCCCCGACAUCUUUAGCGCACCAGGUUGGGGGCGUCGAGGUUGUGUGAACCUGAUCCGGCGUUCACAGGAGCUAGAUCUUCAUCUUCUUCAUCGACAUGCCACCGAAGAAGAAGGCUUCAGCGGCAACUGUUCCGUCCUCAUCGAUCCCACCACCACCGGAGCAAACGGGGGGUGGGGUAGAUGCCGGCGGAAGAACGAACAUCGACGUGGGAGCUCACGGUGAUGCCAGGUCCAAGGGCAAGGCUGCGCAGACCUCGGCGUCCAUACAUGCACCGCGCCCAUCUCAGCAGGUGCAGGACCGACAGCGUCAUGGUAUUCGCAGUGCCAUACGUUUGUUGGACCAAGAUCGAGAUGGUGGAUCUCGGGGUGCUCGAGACCAUCAUGCACGCCAACAUGCUGGCACGAGCGAGGCAUGGUCGCCUGGACGGGAUACUGCUCCUUCUAACAUAGUUAGAAGUCCGAGCAUAUCCCGCUCCUCGCACCGUUCGCCACUGCCGCCCACCACUCCAGCAGAAGCUUUGGCGCGAGCUCAACUGCUCCUGGAUUACCCUCCAACGGCAGACAAAAUCGAUGAAUGGAGGGCCACCAUUCAGAGUCUCAUCGGCUUCGCCAAUGGCGACACUCCGCGGCAGGCCUGCCAGGCACGAGCCGAUGGCGACGAAACCGGUGGGGGUGCAACCACCAAGCACUCUCCACCCCAAAGGCCAAGAUCGCCGACUCGCCGGAUCCACCUCGACAGCGACUCCACCACAUCGUCAGAUCCACGAGCUCAUCACGAUCAGUGCCAAGUUCUUCACGAACGACAGCAAGAAGACGCUCGAACUCGCAUCGAGCGCCGAAGAGAAGCGCGACAUCAAUAGGACCAACGCGCCGGGCCCUCUGUCGACAUGCAUGCACCAGGGGAACCAGGCAACUUGCCGUACGCGGUAGGUUGCCCUGCGUUCACUUGUGAGCUGCGGCAAGUCCAGUGGCCCAACACGAAGAAUUUCAAGCCAGACGUACCAGAGAAGUAUGACGGCAAGUCGCAUCCGUCGGAGUUCCUCAGCAUCUACACCAUCGCGGUGCAAGCUGCCGGGGGGCGGGACGACAGGAUCCUUGCCAACUACUUCCCGCUGGUGCUCAAGCCCAAUGUCAGAUCCUGGCUCAUGCACUUGCCGAACAACUCCAUAUCCUCCUGGGCAGACCUAUGCCAUCAGUUUGUCGGCGCCUUUACAGGCGGCCACAAGCCUCCUGGCCAGGAGAGCGAUCUUCAUCUGCUCGCCCAGAAGGAAGGAGAGCCCCUGCGCAAGUACAUUCAGAGAUUCAGCCGCGUACAGCACAACAUUCCAGAUGUCCACCCUGCCGUAGUAAUCAGCGCGUUCCAUCAGAACGUGCGAAACCGCAGGAUGCGGGAGGAAAUGGCGAUGUGCAAGAUCAGAGACGUCAGUGAGCUAUAUGCCCUGGCCGACAAGUGUGCACGUGCUGAGGAAGGGAGGAAACUCCCCGGGGAGAAUACAGAAGCAGGAGGAUCUGACAGUGAGGAGGCCGCCCCGGCAAAGAAAACCCGGCGGUGGAACAACAGGAAGAAGAAAGGCAAAGAUGUGCUAGUCGUUGAGCAGUCCGGCAACGGAGGUGGCGCCAAGAAAGCCAAAGCUGGUAGCUCCGGCGGCAUCAACUACCAGGCUGUGGCGGUCGCCGACAAGCAGGACGGCACCAACAAGCAGUACUGCAAGAUCCACCGCACCAAGGGCCAUGACCUCCAGAGCUGCAAGAAGGUCGAGCAGUUUGUCGAGCAGCAAAAGGCUGAAUACGAGCGACGCGACAAGGAGAAGGCCCGGGAAGGUGCUGGAGGAGCCGGCAAGAAACGCCCCGGCCGAGGAGGAUGCCGCGGCAAGGCCAAGCAGCGGCAAGGAGAUAGACCUCCCCGCGGCCGCGACAAGGAUGAAGAUGACGACGACGAUGAAGAUAUGGAUGAUGACGAGACCGAUGAGCAGGAGUUCCAGAAAGCCACAGAGGUCCUGUGCGUUGACAGCGGUGCUUCUCUGCAUACUUCCCACCGCCAUCUCAAGAAGUGGAUGCGGGAAGUCAAUGCGGCAGAACCACCCAUCGAGUCACGCAUGCCUCUAAAAUGGUCCAGCACACCUAUCAUCUUUGAUAUUGAGGACCACCCUGAUCGCAUAACUGCGGUCAGGUGCUUGCCGAUGUUGGUUUCACCAACUAUCCGCAACCUCAAGGUCACUAAGAUGCUAGUUGACGGCGGGGCCGGCUUGAACCUUAUCUCCUCCGUGGUACUCCAGAAACUCCAGAUCCCUGAUGGCGAGCUCGAAGAGACCGGCACAUUCCAAGGAAUCAAUCCGGGAAGGAGCGAGCCGAAGGGAAAGAUCACGUUGCCAGUGACAUUUGGCAGCGAGUUGAACUUCAGGACUGAGAGGGUCACUUUUGACAUUGCUGACUUUCCAUUGCCUUACAAUGGAAUACUCGGCCGUCCAGCACUCGCCAAAUUCAUGGCAGCCUCUCACUAUGCAUACAACAUGCUGAAGAUGCCAGGCCCGAUAACUGUCAUCUCUGUCCAUGGCGACAAGAAGGAUGCCCUUAUCUGCACCGACAAGAUCUACCGGGAAGCAGCAGCCACAACAGAUCGCAAAUCACAUGCCGUUGAAGCUCCCGGGGUGAAGAGGAAGACCAAGUCCGGCAAGAGUUCUGAUGCCCACUCCGGCAAGCGCACCUCUUCGGAGUGCUGCACUACCGUCGAGGAGGCACCAUCCAGCUCCACCGGCAAGUGUAAGAAGACAAUGGCAGCUCCACCAGAGACACGGAAGGUGCCCGCCAAGGAGGAUGGCACUGGUGGUACGUUCACCAUCAGUGCCACUCUCGACCCUAAAUAGGAAAGCGCGCUUGUUGCUUUCCUGCGGGCGAACAUCGACGUAUUUGCGUGGCAACCGUCUGACAUCCCUGGUGUUCCUAGGAAAGUAAUCGAGCACCAUCUUGCCGUCUAUCCUCAUGCGCGGCCCGUCAAGCAGAAAGUUAGGAAGCAGGCGGUGGAGCGCCAAGAAUUCAUCGCAGAAGAAAUCAAGAAAUUGGAAGCAGAAGGCCUUGUCAGAGGAGUGCUCCAUCCUACGUGGUUGGCCAACCCUGUAGUCGUGCGCAAGGCGAACGGGAAAUGGAGGCUUUGUAUCGACUUUAACGAUGUCAAUAAAGCUUGUCCCAAAGACCCAUUUCCCUUGCCGCGCAUCGACCAGAUUGUUGACUCUACGGCCGGAUGUGACUUGCUUUCAUUUCUUGAUGCAUACUCAGGAUACCAUCAGAUCUUCAUGGCAGAAGAGGAUGAGGAGAAGACCGCAUUCAUCACCCCAUGUGGCACAUACUGUUUCGUACGGAUGGCUUUUGGUUUAAAGAAUGCUGGUUCAACAUUUGUAAGGGUAGUCCAUUACGCUUUUGAGCUGCAAAUGCACAGAAAUGUGGAAGCCUACAUGGAUGACAUAGUGGUCAAGAGCAAGGACAAGGCGACUCUGAUUCAAGAUUUAGACGAAACCUUUGCAAAUCUGCGCAAGAUCAACCUCAAGCUUAACCCCGAGAAGUGUGUGUUUGGAGUCCCCUCCGGCAAGCUUCUCGGGUUCUUCGUGUCUCAGCGGGGAAUUGAAGCCAAUCCCGACAAGAUCAAGGCCAUUGAGCAGAUUGAAGCACCAAAGCGCAUCAAGGAUGUACGAAGACUUGCCGGUUGCGUAGCUGCUCUCAGCAGGUUUAUCUCUAGGUCUGCUGAGCGCGCCCUGCCAUUUUUUAAAAUAUUGAAAAAGGCAGGUCCAAUGAAAUGGGCUCCGGAAGCGGAGGCUGCGCUGCAGGACUUAAAGAGAUACCUGUCCUCCACUCCAACACUUGUCGCACCUGGGCCACAAGAGAAGUUGCUGCUAUAUAUAGCGGCAACCAAUCAAGUGGUUAGUGCUGCGUUAGUGGCGGAGAGGGAGGCGGAUGAUGAGCCAGCAACCACGGAAGAUGCAUCCAGCGACAAGUAGAGGACUUCACCGACAAGCUUUGGUCCCGACAAAGAUGGAUCUGCGCAGUCGCAUGAGAAGAUGCAGAAAAGAAUGGUGCAGCGCCCAGUUUACUUUGUCAGUUCCCUUCUGCAGGGGGCUAGGUCAAGGUACUCUGGUGUGCAGAAAUUGCUUUUCGGCCUUCUCAUGGCCUCAAGAAAGGUGCGCCAUUACUUCCAAGCACAUGAGAUCACAGUCGUCACUCGUUUUCCGCUGAAGAGGAUACUGCAAAAUCCAGAAGCAACAGGCAGGAUUGUCGAGUGGGCACUGGAACUGUCAAGCUUUGGCCUCAAGUUUGAGAGCACUUCAACUAUCCAAAGCAGAGCAUUGGCAGAGUUCAUAGCAGAAUGGACGCCAACACAAGAUGAAGAAAUUCCGGAAACAAGCAUCCCCGUCAAGGAAGCAAGCAAAGAGUGGCUGAUGUACUUUGAUGGUGCCUUCUCGCUGCAAGGCGCCGGUGCGGGCAUGCUACUUGUUGCACCCACCGGAGAGCACCUCAAGUACGUAGUCCAGAUGCACUUUCCCAAGGAGCAAGCAACAAACAAUACCAUAGAGUAUGAAGGUUUGCUUGCCGGUCUCAGGAUUGCAGCAGACCUUGGGAUCAAGAAGCUCAUUGUCAGGGGUGACUCACAGCUUGUCGUUCGCCAAGUGAACAAGAAUUAUCAGAGUCCGUUGAUGGAAGCUUACGUUGAUGAAGUGAGAAAGCUAGAAGAGCACUUUGACGGCCUACAAAUGGAACAUGUUCCAAGGGCUCAAAACGACAUUGCCGAUGGCCUGUCAAAGUGCCCGCACUUAAGUUACCUGUGGAACCAAGGAUCUUUGUGCUCAAGCUGACUCAACCGUCUGUAACGCCAUCAACUGGACAAAGCAAGAAGAGGAAGUUGAUUUCUGGUGACUAUUUUCCGGCGGAGCUCCCCGAAGCCGCCGCCAAGAAGGUCCCCAAGAUCAACACCAAGGGUGCUGAGGAGCAGUCUGCUCCAGCAAGCCUUAGGGUUUGUUCUGUUGAAGCAGACGCUCCUGACAAGUUUUGCUCCGGCAUGCUUGCCGGGGAACAUCAAGCUCCGGUUGAGCCACAAGUUCUCGCCGUAGAAGCGGAUGUUCCCACAGCAGCAUAUGUGCCUUUAGUCCUUGUUGUCGAGCCGCAAGCUCCAGCAUGGGCACAGCAGAUUUUCCGUUUCCUUCAGACAGGAGAACUACUCGAAGAGCAAGAAGAAGCGGAAAGAGUAGCCCGGCAGUCAAGUAUGUACCAGUUUGUCGACAACACACUGUACAGAAGAAGACUCAACGGCGUGAAAUUGAAGUGUAUUCAUCGGGAAGACGGACAAAAGCUGUUGGCAGAGAUACAUGGAGGCAUAUGUGGUCACCAUAUUGGUGCAAGAGCACUUGCCGGCAAAGCGUUCCGGCAAGGUUUCUUUUGGCCGACAGCCCUCCAGGAUGCAACUGCACAAGUAACCAAGUGUGAAGCGUGCCAGUUCCAUUCCAAGCAGAUACACCAGCCAGCUCAAGCUCUCCAAAUGAUCCCUUUAUCCUGGCCAUUUUCGGUCUGGGGGCUCGACAUCCUCGGCCCCUUUCCCCGAGCUGUCGGGGGCUUUGAGUACUUGUACGUUGCAAUCGACAAGUUCACAAAGUGGCCGGAAGUGGAAGCAGUGAGGAAGGUGACAGCACAGUCAGCGGUCAAGUUCUUCAGGUCGAUUGUUUGCCGCUUCGGGAUCCCUAACAGGAUCAUCACCGACAACGGCACGCAAUUCACGAGCUGCACAUUCAUGCGGUACGUCCAAGAUCUUGGCGCCUAGGUCUGCUUUGCUUCUGUUGCUCAUCCGAGAAGCAACGGUCAAGCGGAGAGGGCAAAUGCUGAAGUGCUGCGCGGGCUCAAGACCAGGACUUUCGACAGGCUGCGCAAGUGCGGAAAGAACUGGAUUGAGGAGCUGCCGGUGGUUCUUUGGUCGGUCAGGACGACACCAAAUCGAGCCACUGGCCAGACACCUUUCGCUCUAGUCUAUGGAGCGGAGGCAGUUCUCCCCACGGAACUCGUAUACGGGUCACCUCGAGUGCUCGCUUAUGAUGAGCUUGAGCAAGAGCAGCUGCGACAAGAUGACGCGCUGCUCCUUGAGGAGGAUCAUCUUCAGGCUGCUGUACGAGCUGCUCGAUACCAGCAAGCUUUGCGCCGCUACCAUAGCCGCAAAGUUAAUGCCAAAAGUUUCGAGGAAGGCGACCUUGUUCUUCGGCGCGUUCAGUCCGCCAAGAAUUCCAACAAGUUGACGCCGAAGUGGGAAGGCCCUUACCGGGUGAAACGAGUCACUAGGCCUGGCGCUGUCCGCCUUGAGACCGAAGAUGGCAUUCCGGUGAGCAACUCCUGGAACAUUGAGCAUCUUCGUAAGUUUUACUCGUAAGGCGCGGUUGUCGGAACCUGUUCCGGCAACCACCUUUUGUACAAGUCUUGCCGAUGUUGCAUGUAAUCCUUUGUACAAAGCCAGGCGCAGACCCCGUGCAUAAGUAAAGCUCAUGUGCUCCGCACAUAUUGUCAAUUUGAUGCUUUCUACUUUUCUUUGCAUGCAUUAUCUGACACUUUGUGCAGCACCUACCCCCGGUAAGCAAAUAACGAGCCGUAAGGCUCCGUAUCUAUAUUUUCUCUUCUUUCUCUUUCUCAAAGGAAAGGAAGUUCCCUCGCACACAAGUUUGUCGUGGGGAAAGGAGAGGAUAAUGGUGUGGACCAGGCGUCGUUCAAGGAAGUUCCGCCUUACCGGAAAGCAAACGACAGAAAAGCUAAGUUGCCAAAGUUUGAGCAAUCAGUUUUAAUUUUUAAGUUAUCUUCCUUGAACGACCGUGCUUUGUAUGGAAAACCUGUGCGCGGAGGAACCAACUCGUAGCUAGUUGCGCCCUUACUUUGUUUCGAGUCCGCUCAAGAACUUAAGUGAGCUGCGACUAGUUGCAACAAGGUUUCUUGUCGGUAGCGGCACCGCCAGCAGGCUGCUGACGUCCCGCACUCAGUGCUCGCGGCUAAGGUGCCUGCGCCGACAAGUUCCCUAAAAGCGUAGGGCAAAAACAUACAAAGGAAGGAAUCAAGUAAAGGAAAUAACAUAGCAAUUGCCACCCAAAAUAGAGUCAUAUUACAAGAUAGCUUGUCGCCGCUCUAACAGAUUGUUCUCAUAAUAUGACCAGCAGCGACAAGAAGAAGAGAAAACGGGCGGCCUAAUCUACGUGAUCGCCCUCAACCCUCUUAAUCCCGCUCACCUUGUCCACAAUGGGUGCGACAAGGGUCUUGAGCGCUUCCAGAUCAGCGUCCGGCGGCAAGGUCCUGAGGACAUUGGUGAGGUUGAGGCCUGGGUUGCGGAAGGCCAUCUUCACCAGCACCUUUUGGAGAGCUCCCGCGUAGAUCUUGCGCGACUCGUCGGCCAGCUGCUUUGGGAUCUUCUCCCAGAGUCGCUGGAGGGCCGUCAUCACGCCUUUGAAGAACAAGCUGAGCUUGGCGCUGGGUUGGAGGUGCUCAUCGGAGGACUACCCGAGAUCCUCCAUCCCCAGCUGCGCCAGCUCCCUGUCGAUGGCUGUAGCAGCGUCCACGAGACCCUCUGUCCAGUGCUCCACGUUCUCCCUGAAAGAGUUCCGGGCAGCGGUAGCACUCGCCAGCAGCGCCUCGUCGGUCUUGAUCUUCUCCGACAAGGCCACCUCCCGCUCCCUGGCGUCGUCCAGCGUCUGAGUCAAAGUAGCCAGCUUCAACUCAAGAUCUGCGUUGGAGUCCUUGGCGGCGCUAAGCUCCUUGCUCCUCUCAGCGAGACGACCUUGCAGCUCGCCAUGAGCGGCGGCGUCCUUCUCGCGCUCACGCUUGAGCGCAGCAAGCUCCUCGCCGCUUGCUUUGAGAUCGGCCUCCAGCUGCGCCACCUUCGUCUACAGCUCCUUCUUGGCGGCCUCGGCAGCUGCGGUAGCAUCCUUUGCUUCCUUGAGAGCCCCGCCAAACGAUUGCUCGCGUGUGGCAAGCUCCUCCUCGUGGGUGUCAAGGUUGACCUUGCACUGCGCCAACUCGCCUUCCUACGCAGAUAGCUUCUCGGCAACAAGCCGCUGUUGCUCUUCGACUUCAGCCUUCUCGAGGAGGAAGGCUUUCCGCUCCUCGUCGACUUGUUCCCGCUCCUCUGCCAGGGCCUGGAAAGCUUCCUGCCUGAAACCCCGGAGCUCCUCCGCGCGCUUCUCGAUGUCCACUCCCGCCUUCGCGACAAGUGCUUCUUGGGAUACCAGCUUGGCUUGUCGGGCGCGGUAGAGCGACAACAGCUUCCGCAGCAGCCGCUCCUCCUCAGGCUCGUCGCUGCUGCUGCUUGGCGCGUCGACCAUCGUCAGCCCAGCGAAGGCAAGCACUUCUCCAUCCAACAUCUCUCUUUCAACCGGCGCCCUGGAGCUUGACGCCCAGGGGAGCUUGAUGAAGAUGCCGUCGCCGGCCUUCAAAUAGGCGCCGGGCUGGGCCUCUUUAGAGCCUGGCGCUGCAGCAGCGGCGGAGGGAUCGGCGGUCGGCGUAGCGCCUGACGCUCCUGCGGCCUCGGGGCCGUCAGUGCGAUCGCCAGGUCCCUCGCCAGCUUCUGCGGCGGCAGCUUUGGCGGCCUCUUCCCCGGCGGGAUCAUCAGCGCCGGCUUCUCCUUCGUUGGCAACGGCGUCGUUGGUAUUGUUGUGCGCGUUCUCCUUGCCGGCGACCUCGGUUUCCAUCGGCUCCGUGGCAGAUGGAUCUGACGAACGGAAAAAGGAGAAGAAUCAAGCCAAUGUCCAAAAAGAAAAUCAGAAGAAGAAGAACCCAAGGGAAGUUUUCAAGCAAGAGGAUUACCUGUACUAGGACCUGCAGUCGUGGUCUCAACCACCGGAGGAUCGUUGGUGUUGUCCCUUGCCGGAGAACUGUCCCUUGCCGGAGAAUUCUCCCUUGCCGGAGAACGCUCCCUUGCCGGAGAAUUCUCCCUUGCCGGAGGACGCUCCCUUGCCGGGGAAUCCUCCCUUGGCGGUGUAGUUGAAGCAGAUGGCAUUUCGGGAGCGGCUUCCGGGCACUCCUGGUGAAGCUGCUCUGCUCCUACACAAACCAAAGUCAGAUAUCAGCAAAGAAAAGCACCCAUGCGCGCCUAACAGCAGGAAGUAAACCAUAUAUUUACACUGGGGGCUGCGCUGGGGGCUGCUUUGGGGAAUGGUUGCCAGGUCCGGCAAGGUGGUCUUGGACACACCCCCGGCUGUCGCAGUGGGUUCGUCCUCGAUGACGAUCACCGGGACCUUGGCUCUCUUCGCCGCUCUCUGGGCCAGCGUCCUGAAAAGGAAUGGGUUCAGAAUGAAGCAAAUCAGAUACAAGACAAAGCAACAAAAUUGAAGAACUACAAGUACAGCAAAGAAUCUUACUCUUCUUCUUCCUCGUCGGAGCUGAUCGUGGAGAGAUCGAAGUCCGGCUCGCCUCCGGUGCGAUGAGGCGGAGGAGUAGGUUCCCUUGUCCGCUUGGCAGGAGCGGUAGCGGUGGACCGCGAAGACCCCGCUCCAGUUGCCGCAGCGGUGUGAGGCACUCCCGCGGCAACACUGCUUGCCGCGGUAGAGCGUGUCGCGCGGCACGGCGGCUGUUGACUCGUCUGCCGCUCCGCUAUGUCCCCUGCCUUGCGGAGACGCCUUCUUGGUGGAGCUGGGGGCUCCUCUUGCGACGAGCUGCCUGAAGGUUCGAGCCCGACAAGCACUCCCUCGCCAGGCUCGCUCGACUCAGCUUCAGGCCCGACAAGUUCUUCCUCGCCGGCAAGCUCCUCUCGCUCGGCAAGGCUUGCCGCCUCUGCUGCCUCUGCCUCCUCUACGAUGAAUCCAAACUCGCCCGCGGCAACUGCUGCCGCCGCCUCUUCCAGCCUGGUGGCGAUGCGCUGCAUCUCCGCAUCGGUGGUAUCGCGGGUGAGGCUCUUUUGUUCAUCGGGGCGGACCGGAACUUCUACCAAGCCGUCGAAGAACUCCUGCAUGACGUUGUCUGCAGGCUCUUGCCAAGUUGGGACAAUCCCAUGCGAAUCGCACAACGGCAUCAUUGCACGGAUGCGGUCGAGCGAGGAGUUGUUGCACAGCAGAACAACACCCCUCGGCAACAUGAAUGCUUCGGGAUGUUGAGAAUCGCGCUUGAAUAGCUCCAGGAUCAUCGCGUCCAGUUCCAAGACAGUGAAGUUGAAGUUGAGGCCCGGGCGCAGCCUCAUGAUAUCCACCGCAUUCUGGAACUCCCAGGCGGGUCUCCUCCUCUCCUGCAGGGGGGCGAUGCGGUGGCGAAGAAAAUCUGCGCCAACGGCGCCUACGGUGAGCCCGGCAAGCCUGAGGCGUAGGAUCCGGGUGACGGCAAUCCUCAGCCUAUCGUCUUCUGGGGCCACAUUGCUCCAAUCGUUGCCGCGCGCUAUUGGGGCUUGGCGCUGGGCGGUAAAUGACUGCGGGUUCUCCUUGACGAUCCAGCACCAGUCUGCUCUCCAUUCCAACCACUUGCUGCGGAGCUCUCCCUCCAGAUAGGCUUCCUUCUUGCCGGUCCUCAAGAUCCAGGCGAUUCCGCCGGAUAAGGGCUCCCCUCUCUCAACUGGAGGCAUGAAGAAGUGGCAGAAAAGAGCUACGUUUGGAUAGACUCCGACAAAGUUUUCGCAGAGAUAUGCGAAAACUGCCAUGGUCAGAACAACAUUGGGGGCGAAGUCAAGGAGGCGGAACCCGUAGGUGUUCAUGAUAUCGCAGAAAAAUUCAGAGAAGGGCGGGCAGAGCCCGCAGUAGAAGAACGCAUUGAACUGCCCCUGGUUCCCCUGCUUAUAAAGAGGGAGGGGGCGGGCGUUCCAUCUUUCCGAAUAAAGAAACCACCCACGAUCUCUCCCACGACGCCGCAUUCAACGCGUGCCGUUCGGGAAGGGCGCGGUGGAUACGGAGUAAGAUACGGCAUAACCCAUGCCGCGCGUGCCCGUGCCCUGUUUUGGGCGUGGCCCAAUAGCGCUCGGCACCAUGUGUGGCCCAGGCCUGGGGGCUCCUAUCGGUGUACUAGAGUAGGGGUACCCUAGUAUCCCGAACUUGUGCACGGGCAGUUGCAGCACCCCGCGGCAAGGCUUGCCGGGUGACCGCCAAGGUCCUCCAUGGUUCCUUUGGAGCCAUUCAAGAACAAAGUAUUCAAGCCAAGGAGACAAGUCCCCGGCAAGAGGAGCUUGCCGGGAGGGCCAACCAAGGCACCUCAAGGAACUUGGCGCGACGCGCCACGCAUCCCGGCGAGGCCCGGUGAGCGACAAGCUUUCGGACGCGACAAGACACCGCCUUGCCGCGGCAGGCUACCACUCUGUACCUGCGCUCUAGCACAUCCACCAACGUGUCGCCCUGAGGACUUUCCAGGCGCACGUGGCAGGAGGUUGUGCAGCCAGCGGUGCGCGGUGGCAAGCAACGCUGACAAGAUUGCCAUCGUGGCGAGCGGUGGCGUCCCUGACGGUCCCUUUUUGCACUGUUUGGGUGACAUAGACGGGCAUUUAAUGCCUUUGUCCCCUGCCGUCAGGGUUAGGUAUGAUACACUGUAUAGGUUGUUGUACCAACCGCAACUCCUUUUCCAUUUUUACCCUUGUCUACGUUGCCACCUAUCGGUGACCCCUUGAGCAUAUAAAAGGAGGCCCAUGCACAACGUAGAGAAUGGUUCGAAGGCAGAAAACACUCACGCUCGGUCUCGUUAGCAGCUAGAGUGUACUGUAGCACUCAGCGCUCCCGAGCAAGAACUCAAUACACUCGGACAUGCAGAAGUAGGAGUGUUAUCUCUCCGGAGAGCUCCAAAGCUGGGUAAACCGCUCGUGUGCUUCGCCUCGAUCUGCUCUUCGUGCGACCUCCGCCCCCCGCCGAAUCGAAAGGGGCUCGGUCCGCCGGUCCCAUAGGUGUUCGUGGAUCAGCCUCCCCGACACUGGCUAUAGCACCUUACCUCUUCUGUGACUUGUCCUGAGAUGAGAAGUAUCAAAAGUGCCGGGGUUUGGGUUUAUGUCAUGCUAGACUCACAUUUCUCGUUCUUACGCCGGGUCCGCGACCUUACAAGGAUACACAAGCUGGUGAAUGUUUCGGAGAAGCAGCAAGCUGUUCGGAUUCAAGUUAGCUUUUAGCAGGCCUCGGGCGAGGAAAUGCUUUGGCUGUGCCAGGAAAUAGUUGGCUCAGGGGCUUUUGAGCGGAGCCAAAGUUGUCCACAUACGUACCAUUUCCAUCAUCACAAGAUCCCCGUUUUCUGUGUGCAUAGAGAUAAAGCGUUCUCUUAUAUUUAGAUAAGAGAGAGAUUUUUCUCAGCGCUUCCCCUUAUCGGCUUGAUCUUCUUCUACCCCUCGGUAGAGUGAGUCUACUUAGCGAACUGGCAGGACGCGGAGAUCGAUUGAUCAAUAUGCAUAUCGAGCAUCUAUAUUUAUUCUCUCUUCCCAAAAGAUAUCUCAAGUCGCUUCCAACGUUUUGAUGAGUAAGGGAGGGUAUUUUCAACAAGAUAACUAUGGAUGACCAUCUUCCAAUUUCCAAUAUAUAUCUUUCAUUAGGUAAGUAAGGGGAAUAAGCAAGAACGGUGGAAAGCUUAAGAAAGUGCUAGUUCCUUUGCUGCGAAUGGGUGGAAUUGGUACCCCCAAAAGGUUGUUCUCUUAAAACCUCUGGCAAGGGGGUGUGGAAGAGUUCAAGUCUAUCCCUUUGGUUAAGCUACUGUUGUUAUACAUCUCUACUAUUAUGGGCCACCACUUACUUAAAGGAAGUCGAGUACACAUCUCCUUCAACCUGAAGGGCGAGGACCUGCAACGACGUAACAUUUGAAAGAAAAGUAACCAGCAUAGGAGAGUGAUCAGAAAGCAUAUGACUCGCGGGAGGGUUGGCUAAUCAAAUUAGAAUGAAGAUUCUGCUCUAUAUGAUAAACAUUGGUUGACUUUGAUAUGAAGUGUUGAUUGUGUUUUCUAUUCUUUGAGACCUUGAUAGUGCUUCUCGUUGUGACUGAAGGAAGGUUCAUUCUGUGCAAGAUAUAUGCUAGUUUACAAGCAUGAGACCCUUCUUUUGGGCCGGUAGACAGAGGCCUCAGUUCCAACGAAAUGGAGAGCAAAAAGAGGUCGUGUCAUACCAUACAGAUGAAAUGAAUAAAAGAUAUUCCUGCUAUUUCUGUGCCUAUUAGUACUUCACUCUGACCACAUCAAGAGGAGUAGUUUGUUUUUCUUUUGUAAAGCGAGCCCAAGGAAAUAUAUAGGAGAACAUAGCUUGUUUUGUAGUAAGUAAAUUCAAAGGCUCAAAUCGUCUAUAUCAAUGCAAGUAUAGCUGGAUGGAGUGACUUGUGCUUUCGAACCAUAAAAUAAUGCCGCCUCUCGGGAGCGCGUGUUACUAUUCCAUUCUCUGGAGCACAAUCCAACGGAAAAAAAGUAUGUUUCCAAACUACACCUUUAGUUGUUCCAGCUCGUGAGGAAGACGACUAUGGAAUUCAUAUUUCCUUUCUCUCGAAGCAAGCCAGUCCUUAAUUAAUGAUAGGGAAGGAAGGAAUUUCUCUUAGCCUUGUGAGUCUUUUUAUCAUAUGGAUGGGUCAUACAACCCUUACAUGGUCUCUUGGCAUGAAAUUGGGUACUUUUCGUCUAUGGCGAGAUGGAAAUUAUCUGCAAAGAAUGCCAACUUAGGAUCGUCAAAAUGGAAAUCGUAUCAACCCACCGAAACCGCUCUUUGGAAUGGAAUGCAUAGUAUUGUGCAUUCGAAUGGAAAAGUCGAAUAAUCAAGACAUGGAUCUAGUAUCAACAUGACCCAACUUUCAUUCUCAUGACCCAACUUAUUCAACCACUUCCAUUAUCUUUCUAUUGCUACAAAUCGACAACAAAAAACAUCCCUCGGAAUUCCUGUUCGAUAGGAAAAGCUCUUCAACCAGAAAUAGCAAGCAACAUGUUUUUCUUCUCUCUUCCGGGCACACACCCUAUCGGGUGACGCCACUGACAAACACCCUAAAGGGGAACGCAACACUUCCUAUAACAGAAAAGCAAUAUCUGAAAUCUUUAAGCAACUAAAAAAGACGUAUACUAAAAGAUAUGUGUUGAAAAGGGAUGGUCAAUAACAAGAUGAACCCAAUGCCCAAUCUUCCCAAUAGUAUUCCUUAACUCUUGAAUUGAUACACUUGUUCAUGGCAUCUAUUCUCUAUCUUCACUUUUCACCUUCUCAUCCUUAACCUCAGUGAUCUGUCCCUCCUAGACAUCCUUCUGCGUACAAAAAUAGAAGAAGAAGCACGGGCAUAAAUCAAUAGAAUAGUUUAGUUUCAGAAGUCUUUUUUGAUUGGUAUAUCAAUCAUGGUUUAUAGGGAAAUAGUUAGAAUAGGAAAGCUCUGUUAGUUACUAAUGUUUGGGUUUUUGUUUACGGCAAUAGUAGGUUUCUUGCUUGUCAUAUUUAGAAUAUAAGCAUCAGUUACAUUUGACGUCCAGCCUUUUUAUAGAAGAGAAAGGAAGGUUAAGGGCAAGGGCGCAGCAUAAUAUAUAAGAAAAACUUGCUCUUUGAGGGGAAAUUUUUCCAACUAGACCAAUAAAUGAGAAAAAGUACCAGUCGUACCAAGAACCAAAGGCGCCAGCUUUCAUUGAUAUAUAUAUACCGUAUCUUUUAGCUGAAAAAUCUAUGGAUAAGAACCGGCUCUUGGAGGAGGGGUGGCACGACAGAGCAAUGAAAAGCUGGGAUCUUUCCUUAUCUUCGGUCGUGAUGCCUUUUCCUUUUGUAUGAGAAAGCACUACAAAACAUCCUUCUCGCGGGUUAUCUUCUACUCAAGAAAGCUCUCUCCUAUUCUUCAUCCACCAACUAGCAGGAACGUAGGAGCACAAGAGGGUCAUCAUCUUCUGAAACGAUUGGCUUUCGAUCUGUUUUCCAAGAGGUGGUUUCUGACAUGACCAGAAAGAGUGGAAUUCUUGUAGGAUUGGCAUGUCAAGUUGCUUUCUCGGACCCUAACAUAAACCACCUUAUCCUCACUCAGAUUGUUCUUUUGGACUGAGCAAAAGCACAACCUCUAUCUGACGUUUUCUCUAUCCCUUCUAAUCUCUCAAUGGUAUUUCCAUCUCUCGAUUCAAUCAAUCAAGUAAGUCCGGAUGACACUUGUCUUUAUUUAGUGUUUCCCCGGCUAUUCAGCCAUUACUUGCAUCUCAGGUUCUUUGUACCCUUUUUUAGUGCCAUGCACACUGAGGUUUCUGGCAUGACCGAAUCUUUUGAGAAUAUCGCUUAUUACGUUAAUUUCUUCAUCUUGAUGUACUCAAUCCAUUCAAAUUCCAUAAUUCCAAUGCUAUAAUCCCUAUAUUAAGAUGAAGUAAGAAAGCAUCAGUCCUCUUAUUUUCUGUCUUCUAUGAAAGAAUGUAGCUCGCUCUUUCAACUCGGGGCCCCCUCUGGGGAACUGUUUGAGUUUUAGCAUCGACCCCAUUUCCUUUUGAUCGUAUUACGCUUGACCCGCUGCAAAACAUUUCGCUUUCUGUGCCACGCUCGUACGUGGUUUACACUCCUAGACUUUCAUCUUACUUUGCCAUCGGGCAAUUGUUUGUUUUCAACUGGAUUGGAUUCCGAACCAAGAAAGAUAGGAAACUUUCACUUGAAAGAAAGAAGCUUCAGAACUCUUGUAUUCCACCGAAUAAGAAUAAGAAUAAGAAUAAGAGCAAGAAGCGGCUAUCUUUGUGAAGGGACCGACACCAGAAAGUAGAUCAUAUGGCCUUUCUUUCGCCAAAAUCAAGUAAAGCCCCGGCCCACGAAAUGCAGCAAAGCAAGUCAUCUUGGGUUUGGAGCGAAAUUCCUGGAUGUAUAGGCUUGAUCGAGUGCCUUACCUGAAAUCGACGAUAUAAAGUGGGCUCUUUAGCUUGCUCCGACAGAGGUCUCCUUCUCCCUUAGCAGCGAGACCCAUCCCUACCUCUUUUCAAUCAAUCUUUCAUACCGUAUGCCUUUUCUACGCCUAAAACAAGUUCAUGUCUCUCCUCUCUGAAGUCGGACCUUAUUGAAAAGUAGUACGCUUUCUUUUGUGGUGUUCAGGAUCCCAUGCUUUGUAGUUCACGCAUGGCUUUCUCUAACGAAGUUAAUGCCGAAUUAAAGACCUUAAAUAGAAAGACAAAGGAGGUGGCGAAAAACAAAAAAAGAGAAAGAUCUUACAAACUUCUCUGAACCCGGUAGCCAGCGGAGCCCUUAUUCAUGGGUUAGGGACUAGCAUUGAAAAAAGUUGGUGACAGCCGAAGAAAAAGUGAAAGGGCAAGUAAAUAAUCUAAACAUGCGGGUAAGCAGCAAAAAAAGAAUAAAAGUAACGCGCCCUACCUGUUAGUAAAGUAAGGCCUUCUAGAGCCUAUCUAACACAGACAUGCACGCAGAUGAGGACAUAGAAAUAAAUGGACGUCGAUCCGGUACUGAAAUUGCAUAGCAAAAAAUGCAAUAUGUUCAUACUUGAUGAAACACACAUCAUCCAAUUCAUGAUUUAAGAACAAGAGAACGAGAUAUUCACUUUUUUUACAUCUGUAACUACAUUCUCACAUUUCUUUUUUGAUCUCAUGACUUUUUAUGCGAUCAGAAAACGAAUGAGAUCAGAAAGAUAGGUGGACGACUUGACCAUAAGGUCGGAUGUUUCCGUGAGCAGUAAGCAGCGGAUCUCCCCUUUUUUGGGGAAAGCUGGUUAAACAAAACUAAUGAUAGCUAGCAGGGAUUUUCUAAAGGUUCAAAAAGAAGGUAUUUCAAAAGGGCUUUUGCAAAGGAGGUUCACCUUGCCUGCUUUCCUUGUCCUCCGUUCAUUGAUAUCCUAUACUGGAUACCUUUGCCUUUUCCGAGUGGAGGCAGUAGGCUAUUCUCAUUCUUAGCUUUAUACGCCAAAACAUGCCAUUGCGUAGGCUCGUAGGUGUAAUUCGUAUUCGUAUUUGUUAUUGGCGUACGUAAUUUCCUUACUACGUCUAUCGCUUGUAGGAAUAUCUCUAAAUAGGAAUUGUAGUCCUUGUAUGUACAUCUUUUGUAUUGUGAUAAAGCACCUAUGCCGCUAGAAAUAGUAGCGCCUUAAAGAAGGCGUUCCAGGUUCUUUUUCCCCUGGUUUGUAUCAGAGCUGACCACUGAUAAUAGGCAAAAUGAAACAUUUGGUGUGUUUUCAUUCAUUCUCAAUCUUGUUUCCCCUUGCACUCCGAGGGAAAUAAAGGGGAAAGCACUGAUUCAUUUGGAGCUGUUUUCUAACUGGCUCAUUGACAUGAGAGAUUGGAUGCGAUGCGCCAGCCACUUGUACUAAAGCGGACAAAGGUCACCGGCAAACGACCGUUCCACAAUGGAACCUGGCACUACUGUUUUCCCUAAGGGCCGACCCACCUUUUCAGAGAAACAGACACAUGACAUCACUAUAUUACGCAUUUUCGAGAUAAGAAAGUGGAGAAUGCACUCUUCCCUUUUUUUACAUUUAAAACUCAUGUUCAUGGUCUGUUUUAUUCCCAAUUGUUGCCCGUGUGAAAAGAAAGAAGAGAAAUUGGGCCAUGUUUCCCGAGAGAGACUGCCUUCUCUCAGGCCAGCAGUCUUAUACUUAUAGUCGACUGCUCUAUGACAAUCUGACCUCUUUCCUGGGCUCUGCUUGCUCGUCUACGCUCCGACCAAUUCAGUCAAAAUAGAAAAAACGAUGUUUCCUUGAAAAAGUCUAAGAAAUAGUAGUAGUAGUCAAAAGUGCACUUUUUCAUAUAUUUUGAUUUAUAGGGAUCCCUAUCUUUAUCUCUAUCCAUAGAGAUACCUAUCUAUAUAGAGAGAGAUUUUUCUCAAAAUUGAUCUAGACUAUCCUCUAUCCGGAUAGAUAUGUCCCUAUGAGCGACUAGGCCAAUCUUUUUUUAUAUGUUUUGGCCACGUCCGUUUCCGCUCCGAAGAGGAAGGUUUGGAUCUUUCAAUCUUAUGUCGUGAGGGAUGUAACCUAUGUUAGGUCCAUAAGAUACCACAGCUUUUAGUGUUCUAUGAUUCACCUCCGAAUAAUGGGUAGGCAGUUCGAUCCUUUUGAUUCUUAUCUUCCUAGUAAACGAGGAUCUGGAGCAAUAGGUCGAAUUACUAUAUAAAGAAGACUUUUCUACGAAAGGACUUAUUGUUCGAGUAGGAAGAUUUCGGUUUUUCUCCUUCCCUCUUUUCAAUAAGAAGAAGUAUUUGAAAUGAAACAAAUUCCUCUUCAUUCUAUUGUGCUUAGCAAAGGAACUGCCUAAGCAUACUUUUGCAGAUCCAAACUUCUUUGUUCUUUCAAAGUCUUCUUCUUGCAUAUAAGAACGCAACUUUUGCUAUUCCUUGGAUUUGAGUAGUAAGCGGCAUCCCCUCUGAGUUGUGAGUAAGCGGAACCAUUCUUUUUUUGUUCUUCUCCAGAUUCUGGCCGGUAGGAAUUUUCCUCUUCUUUUUCCAACUGAUAUGGCCGAUAGGAAUUUUCCUAUGAUUUUUCCAACUGAUAUGUUGAUAUAGAAAGAUCUCCUUAUUUCAAAACCGUGGGUUCUCGCGUCAUUUUCUUUAAAAGAUAUUAGAUCACCGUGGGAAACUUUCAAAUGAGUAAUGGUUACCAGUCCAUUAUUCAAACAAACCCUUCGAUGACUUAUUGGCUGCCUUGCUUGAGGAAGAGUGUCACUAAAAUGGAGACGAACCGGAAUCACGUCCGAUCUUGUUUCUUGAUUGAGUAAAAAAGGGAUAUAUGAAGUUCGUUCUCUUCCUCUAUGCAUCUCCCUUAUGGGUAAAUCCCCAUAAUAAAGAGACAACUUUCGUGUAGUUUGUGAUUUGAUGUUACUGUUUCGAUUUUCUCUCCGAGAAAGAUUUCUUUUAAUGGAUCUCCUCUUGUUCCUCAAUCUUCAGAGAAUACAGCGUUGGAUUAGAGAAAGUUCUCUGUUCCGAACAUUUCCUGGAAGUAGACGACACGUUUUAAAUCUUAAUGCUGGCAUGGCAUAUUUCGUUGAAUCCGUCUUUUUCGCCACAUCGCGUAUAAAGGGAUCGAACCCAACUCUUCCACGAACCCCCCACGAAUGGCCCUCCCUUAAUUCAAUGAACUAUGAGAAUUCCUUUUUUCGUUUUUUUCUUUUCAGUUCUCAUAAGUCCUUGGUAUACUAGCAGAAACUCAAUACUUGACCGACUGCGUCACAAUGCUCAGGUAAAGUGGCAGUGGUUGAAAGUGAGCGGAAACGUCAGUGUUUUCUGUGCGUUACGAUAGUAGUGGUGAAAGAAAAUCCAAUUCAAAUAUCUCAACGUAAAAGGAAAAUCGUUUCACUUCGAAAGGAAAGCUAGCUAUAUGAGAUCGAAAUAACUCUAUCUACGAUAUUCAUUGCACCAUGAUUGAAGGACAAUGAGGGGCAGGUUAUAUUCCCUUUCUUCUGAUCGAUCGAGCUCAAAGGCAAAAGGCACUAAAAAUGUUUAAGAUGUUUCAUCAGAAUUGCUAUUGACAUCGACUCGUCCGAGAGAUUAGCAAGCACCUCAAGGUUGUGAUAAAUCCAUCCCAAAAACCUAGAGUUGGAUCUAUUAUUUUCACUUUCUUUCCCAAACAAUGUAUCUGCUGAUACCAAAAUUGCUUAUAUUGCUCGCCCUAAGAUGGAAAAUGCGAUAGAACCCACUUUACAUACCUCCAUAGGAGGAGAUCCCUUAGAAGAGAGUGAAACAGGCAGUACAGCAAUUCACAAGCCAUAGAGAACGAAACUCGGAAGAAGAUCUAGUUUCAAGUCAGCUAGGAAGACCUCUUUCUUAAAUUAAAGGGAAGGGGUCCACAUAAGCCCCAAUUAUUCCCUAGCUUGUUAAUCCAACAUAUCAGUUGGCGUGUCUGAAUAAGAAAGAGUUGGGUGAUGGUUUUAGAAAACCCGAAACUAGCCAUGCCCUAAAGAAAGUGAAUUCCAAUCUACGUGGAUCACGAAAGAAGCAAAGCCGGUCAAAGAAUCGAUUAUAUGCCUUCUCUUUCCAUAAGACCGAUGGCCUUAGUAACGUAACGCACAGAAGGAAUAGAAGACAGAGCGAGGGGAUAUGUCACGAGCAAAAGGGAUGAACAACUACCCCUGUAUACGUAGCUUUGUGUAACAGGGGGAACGACUGUUGAGUCAAAAAGUUGAGUGAGAAGGAAGCAAAGGAUCGGUUGUGGUGGGAUAUGAAGUGCUCUACUAAGCCAAUACGAAUGUUUACAUACGAACACACGCCAAUACAUACGAGUAGUAGGGGUAUGGAAAUUCUCAUCAAUUAAAGGUUAGAGCUCGGUUUCUGGUUGACUUUUCGAAUCCUAUCCUCUGUUUCUGGUUAAACUAAUUAAAUAGGAGUAUCCACCCAACUUUCAUAUGUUGUUGUUCCUAUACGCUAACGGGUUCAUCUUUAUAGGCAAUGAUUUCAUUUGUAUUCCAAUUCGUACGUAUACCCCAUCUCUUUGUUUACCAUCCCUAUCGUCUCGAAUAAGGUUUCCUAGCCUAGCCCAUCUCGGCGUCAGCUACCGAAAGAUAAAAUUGGUCUAAGGGCGGCAUCUACUCGUUCAUCGCUUGCCUCACAUCGAAAGAGGCAUGGCUUCUCUCUUCACUCACUCCCCUGUUUGCCAGCUUCAAUAGCAUGGAAGAAGGUGUUCAAAGAACAUAGUUUCACAUCUACAUUUUCUCCAUUUGAUCUUGAUCAAUAAUUCACUUAUAGAAAUAGAAUAGAAUAGAAAUAUCAAGAGAAACACUCUUCUUUCCGAUGAUCCGUUUCUAGUGGGACAUCGUUCAUAGGGAGAGCACAUCCAAUGUGCCCUCUACUCUUCACUCUUCACUCUUGUGCUCGAUAUCCUCUUCAACAAGGAUUUGCGGCUCCAAUCCCUUUAUUUUUCCAAAGGCAAAAGAUGGAACAGACCGAAUCCAAGCCAUAUAAUUGCUUGAUAUCUCAAGAGUGCUUAUUUGGAAAAGAGUUUUCUAUGUCGUUCAAACUAAUGCUCAAUUUAGAAUUCUAUAACAAAAAAAGGAACAAUCAAUUAAUCUAUCUCACAUAUAUUAUGAAGCAGCUGCUAGGCCUGGUUAUCCCGAAUCCUUUCCGCCCCUUCGGUUUGAGGUUCUGCUUUGGCCUACCUAAAACUUGUGCUUCUAUACUGUGAUUCAUUACGGUGCUCUCUCCUAAUAACAGAUAGCUCUAAUAGGGCAAUAGUGGAGGAAAGUCUUCAUGAAAAAGAUGGAUUUGUUACUUUUGAAUGAUAAACUUAUUCGGGCAGCUGGGAAAGAAGAAGGAUGACUUUAGUCAAAUUAAUGAAGCGAUCCCGCGGAUACGGAAGUUGUAUUUGAAGUACGAGCUGCUGCUGAAAACAACAUGUUUGCAUGGUUCUUAGCUCAUAGUGUGUGUGGGUGAUUUCCAUGAAAUAGAUACCAUUGACACAUUGAUUAUACCGAGUAUGCCCCUUGGCAUGAUCUUUCGUUUAGCCCACUAUAGAAGAUGAUCACACUUUGGAAGAGAGACAGUCGCUGUUCGACCUCAAGAAUUCCUGGAUAAUACGAGGGCUGAAAGCCUUCAUCAACAAGAGGACAUGGUUGCAUGACCGUGGCUCAAAACUAGCAUGAAUAUUGGCUUACUCGUACUCUGUAGAAGGAUCUAUGCCCUUUUUGAUAGACAAGAGGUAAGUAGGCCAUUGAAGCCUUAAUUAAGCAUGCAUUCUUCUAUCUAUGAUAUUCUAUCCAUGAAAGGGAGAAGCUUAAGUCGAAGUGUGUACCAAUAGUAGAAGCAAGAAGCUUAGGUCUUUUUCAGCCACCGAGGACACAUGCGCCAGGAAGAAAAGCAUGAUCAUAUACGGAAACUGGAGCUAGAUCAUACAGAUCGUAAAAUUCACCAUGAAAGAUGCCUUAUGACCUAAACCUUACACAAGCUAAUGAAAAUGACUAUCUAUUUUUACAGGAGGGACUGAACUAAUACGAAAAUUGACCCUUAGGUUUGUCUUGGUCAACGGGACCGCAUAACGAUUAUGCUUUAAAAACGGCUCUGGGUCUGUCAGGAUUAUGAGAAGUUGUACUCAGUAGGGCUCUUUUGGAGAAGUUGAGUAGCACCCUUGUAUUCUAGUUUGUGAGUAAUCUGAAAAGGAAAGGCUGCUGGAGGGAAGGAUAGAAUGGUUCAGUGGGAUUUAGAAGGUAUGCCUUUUUCUUCUUAUUUACUGGCUCGGACACGGGAAUUCUCGAGGAAGAAAAGCAAAUGUCAUUUCUCAAUUGUCACCGCCUGGCAGAAAAGCUUUUCUUUCUUCCUACUACAUACGAUAUUCAAGUGCCCGUUUUCCUUGUUCACAUGAGGUGAACGUCCAUGCAGAGGAUACUUGGAAUACCACCCUUAGCCCUGUCCGUCUGUUGGAAUCGAUGACUUAAAACGAGUUCUUCUAGCUUAGCUCAGCAGAAGCAAAGGACGAGCCAAAACUCUACCCAUGAGGCUUGAUAUCAACCAUCAUGCCGAGGAUCUAAAUCCGUCCUAUCGGAUGAGGAGAGCAAGAGGGAUUGCACGACGAAGUAGAUCUGCACGUGGAAAGAAAGGGGUCAAGCGGAUACAUGAUUCCAAAUUACUCCUUUCCGGCCAAGAAGAGAGGAUCUACACGGUACAACGUAAAGUGUUUUGAUCGCAUUGGAAAAGACUAUCCAUACCGACCUAGAGUCGUCAGCCAUCGCACAAGCAGGCAAGCCAAGUUCUGAUACAAACAAGUGCAGACGAAGUAACACGAAUAUCUCCGGUAGUCAGUCUAUUUCCAUCAGCCGGCCGGUGGGAGCGAGAAGUAUGGGAUAUGUCUGGUGUUUCUUCCAUCAAUCAUCCGGAUUUACGCCGUAUAUCAACAGAUUACGGUUUCAAGGGUCAUCCAUUACGAAAGGACUUUCCUCUGAGUGGAUAUGUGGAAGUACGCUAUGAUGAUUCAGAGAAACGUGUGGUUUCUGAACCCAUUGAGAUGACCCAAGAAUUUCGCUAUUUCGAUUUUGCUUGUCCUUGGGAACAGCGUCGUGAUGGAUAAUUCCGAAUCUACAUAGGUCUAGUCCAGGGGACAAAUCAAUAGGAAAUGCUGUUUGCUUCUUAAGAAGAAGAACGUUUUUUGAAAUGAAAGAGUUUCCACGGGCGUCGGAUAUCAUAUCUUCAAAUAAGGAAGAAGUGUUAUCGAAGGAUUUCCUUCUAUUAUUCCUAGUAUGGAAGAAGUAAAGAAAAAGUACUGCGUCUCAAUCUAUAUGAAAGGGCACUAGUUUUUUUCUUUUGGUUUCAUUGAUAGCAGAAGAGUACGCUAGCUAGCGGAGCCUAAAAAUGCUUGCUUGCACCCCACCCCUACGGAAACUAUUGCCUAUGCUUGCUGCUUGCUCAGUGUCAGUAGAAGGGAAGAAAAGAUGGUCACUCCUUUUAGGAACAUGGCGAGCCUUACUUACGACUGUUGCACUUCACUCGCUACUCGUUCAUUCACUUGCUCAUGAACUCGCUGCUUCGCCAGAAGCGACUAGUCACCUCCUUUCCUCCGCCGAAAGAUGCUUAGCCAGAAGCGACGAAGGAGGGGAGCUGGGGAAGGCCGACGAUGGCAACGAGGGGGAAGCUGUCGUAGAAGCAUUGCCCCUUGCUUUACAUAAAUUGAUUGUUAUGAACUUACUAAAUGACCUUAUUUAUUCUCCCGGAACGCUAGCAAAUCUAAUAGUUCCAUCUGCUCUUAUUAACUUAAGAACGAAGGCCGCCAUCCUUCUUAUUCAGGAACCCUUUGUUUGAGGAGGGCGUAUCCCUGGGAAGGGGAGAGUGGCCAAGCGGUCAAAAGCGACAGACUGUAAAUCUGUUGAAGGUUUUCUACGUAGGUUCGAAUCCUGCCUCUCCCACCUGUUGUAGACUUAAGAGAAGAGAAAGUAGGCGGAAGCCUAGGAGGGCCAACCGAGCGAAGCUCUUUUUUUGUCGUGCCGUGAAGUGCAAUUUUCUCGUAUGCGUUUUAGAGAGGUUGUCGAAAAAAGACGAUCUAUAGAGAUUCCCCAUCUAUAUCCAAUCGAGUAUAGAAGCGAGUCGCUUCCGGUGUCGGCUUGUAGUCUCUGCAGUCGGCACACGCACGCGCCCGCCAUCAUGCCUCCUUGAUUCGGGACGAAGCCAAGCGAGACAUACGAUAGACGAAGGAAGCGCCCACCCAGCAGGAGGGCUAAAACCUGUAGUUUUGAAGUUGCAAACUCCAGCUUCGAAGCUGGAGUGCUUUAGCCCUUUUUUAAGCAAGAAUCACCAUCCUGAGUGCCUUGCGCGCUCAAGAACAAGCAAGGGAUGAGCGCUUUGGUGCUAAAGAGGAUACGUUUUCUUGCUGGGGAAGGCUAGUUUGAUCGAGGAUUGGAGAGGAGGGAGAGGUGGAAUAAAAAGCUCGGGAUGGAUUUUGGAGUCUUUGUGCGAGCCGUAUGCGGUGAGAGUCGCGCGUACGGUAAGAAGGGGGGUUCGUGUCUAUACGUGUAGUGUGGUGGUUGGGCCUACCCACCCUAUUUGUUCCAUGAUCUAUGGGUCUACUGGAGCUACCCACUUCGAUCAAUUAGCCAAGAUUUUGACCGGAUACGAAAUCACUGGUGCUCGAUCUAGUGGUAUUUUUAUGGGGAUUCUUUUUAUCGCUGUAGGAUUCCUAUUCAAGAUUACUGCAGUCCCUUUUCGGGCGGCUGUAGGACGGACGGCCCCCUAUAGGUAGUAGGGUAGGGUGGGUGGUACCGCUCAGAUAGCGGCCAAUCCUCCUAACUGCAUGCGGGCCGGGCUUAGAGCGCAUGAAACUCAUCACUACCUCGUAAGGGCGUUGAGACCAUAGCAUGUUACACAAAAGCGCUGCUUUCUCAGGAGUGUUGUCACACAGCUGCCCGACUAGAAGAGCUACUCGCCAUGUAGUGUUGUCACACAAGAUAAGCACGCCGCCCGCCUGCUGGCCGGGCGAAUCGAAGUUAUCUUCUGGUCAACUGUCCACCCAGUCAAUUGCAAAAAACACAGUGGAAUCACGCAACGCACGCUGCUGGUGCGCUUCCUGCCCACGAGGAAAGAAGAGCGACAAGGUUCAGAUUUGACUGUUUGCAGCAUGGGAGCUGAUUACCCAAAAAUCCCUGGGAAAAAAGAAAAGAUAUCUCGGUAACGAAAACCAUAGGAGGCUGUAUUGGCGAGGUCCAAGGGUUCACAACAGCCCAAAAGAAAAACCGCCUGGAAGUCCGAGGACCUUUAGUACCAUACUGAACCAGCAGCCUUCGCGCCAAGCGACGACCGCCCUUGUCCCUUUCCUUUUUCCAUUCAACCUACUUCUUAGCUUUGUUCCGUCAGUCUAAGUCAAAGCUUAAGUGGUUUUCCUACCUUACCCACUUGAUGAAAGGGAACGAACUUCGUUUCCUUGGCGGCUUUAUGGAUGGAUUCAGUCAGAAAAAACUCCUUCCUUUUGAAAAAAGUGAGCUUUGCGUCUUCGCUUCCGUGGGUUAGGGUAUAGGCCGUUUCGAGCAAGCUUUCGCUUUUUCUCCCGGCUUUCUACAACUUUCGCUUUAGCUUCCAAAGGCGACCCAAUGACCUUUCUAGAAUUGGAAGUAUUCGUCGCCCUACCCUAAGAAAGAAGUCACUAUAAAACAGCUUGCCCUCCAGAAGUACCAAAGGUGCACGGAGCCCGGUGAAAAUGAAUAUGUUUGCUACUGAAAGAAGCCUGCCUAUUGACUAAUAUUCGUCUUUAGAAUGAAAGUAGCUAUGAAGCCCAAUCUAUACUGUCGAUUCAAAAGGGGGCAUAGUCAUAUGGGUGCGGUGUUUGUGGGGAGCUGCCUUGGAUUUGAGGAAUUCCUCCAAUCUAAAAAAAGAACAAAGAAAAAGUCCGUGAUAAAUAUCUUUCUUUUCUAUCAAUAGAUAGGAAUGAGUGUUUGUUAUAGGGGAUAGGAUCCAUCUGCUCUCUCUCUCUCUCUAUUUUCUUUGAUGCAAUUUAGAGAGAAAGAGCAGUGCGAAUUAGAAAAAAAAAAGAGAAGCGGGAGAUGAUUCCAAAAUAGAUACA